rnacentral:lncRNA from 1 species
ACACGAUCAACGAAGAGUUCUCAUAUUCAUGUCACAUGAGAACUCAUGGUUGGGAUAGUGCAAAGUAGUCAUUUGACCUGAGGCAUCAUAGUUUUCUUGUGGUUAAGUCCUUGAUCUUUGAUUAAGUCAAAAGUCACUCCAAAAGGAGGGUGUCCACGGCAUAGUUAGGGUUAAGCCACUUAGCUAUGGAGGCAAGUGAAUGCGCAACAAGGGAUCUCUAACCUUUAAACUGUUUGAGGGAGAAUACUCUAUGAUAUGAUUAAGAAUCUCUAGCCAGAGUAUGAAUGAGAUUUAGGAAAGUCGUUCCAAAUCACAUUCAAGGUAAUCAUAUAAGCACACUGUUUGUACCAUACUUGACCAAUCCCGAAACUACUAAGCACCGGUCAACGUUAUACCGUCAAGGACCCAGAAGAGCUUCCCCUUCAACCAGGAGGCCAAUCAUAAUGCGACACAUGUUGACAUCAAAAGCCAAUCACAGCGCGACACGUGUCAACAUCAGAAGCUAAUCACAACACGACACGUGUCAAUGUUAGAACAAAACUAGAAACUCUCUUCUAUAAAUAGGGAUCAUUCUCCCACAAUAAUCUCUAAUGUCAUUUUGUACUAAACUAUUCACUAGAACUCACAAAAUGAGAGCUUGAACCUAUGUAUUUGUGUAAACCCUCACAAUUAUGAGAACUUCUCUACUCCGUGGACGUAGCCGAUCUGGGUGAACCACGUACAUCUUGUGUUGCUUCCCUAUCCCUAUUCAUUUACGUACUUAUCUUCACUAGUGAUCGAAGCAACCAAGCAAAGGUCACAAACCUGACACUUUCUGUUGUACCAAAGUCCUCGCUGAUUUUGUGCAUCAACAUUUGGCGCCGUCUGUGGGAAUCAACACUUAUUCCCACUCUCUUCAGCUUUGUCAAGCUGGUUUCACCGCUCGUACACUCUCUUUUAGCCAAGCAUCUCUCUCCGACAUGGGGCGAAAGAACCAUAGCAACAGAAUGUACCCCCCUUGGACCGUAUGAAGCAACGAAAGCAUGAGGGAAAUAGAGUUACUCUUCAAGCUAAAGUCGAUGAGCUAGAGGUUCAGAACAACAAGAUAGCGAUGAAGAAUGAGGUCCUCCAGGAACAAUAUGAAAAACUUUUCGAGACGCUUCACGAGGCUAGGCAUGCUCAAACACACAAGCUCGUCGCCCUGUUGAGGUCAACAAUCAUCUGAAUGCCCCCCAACACGGAGGUCACCGAUAUCCAACACGGACAUUCCCUUGAUAGGGAUCGAGCUACACAUCAAUGUGAUAAUCAACAUGAGACUUCUCUCAACCCAGCUGCUUCAACCCGAAGCAGAAGAAGUAGAGGAAAUCACCUCUUCACAGAGGGAGUGGAAGGAUCAAAAGCCGUCUAUCGCGAUUGUCGAGACUUCCUAAAGCAACGUCGAGAGAAUCUCAUCCACAUAAGCUCGAAGAUCAAUGACCUAGAGGUUUCUGAAAGACUCGGUCCUCUUCCACGACCAGGCCAGCGGCAAUCUAGGAUGGCAAUAAGUCCAAAAGAACAUGAAGGUACAGGGGACUCGAAAAUAUUCCGACAUACUCACUCUAGGAGUUAAUGUGGCAAGUCCAAGGAAAAAUCACGCUAUCUUGAUCAAACUUUCCUACUUACAAGAGGCGAUGGGGACUUACGAAAGAAAACUUCAGUGAUGCACGACUCCACUCAGGACCCCCUCAUCCUACAGCUCCUGGAGGAAGUAAACAAGUUGAAGGCUGAACGUCAAGCCGAGAUACCUGACUGGAACCAACCCAGGCCUGGCCCCCUCACAAGAAGGAUCCUCAACACCCCCCUCCAAGCGAAGACAAAGCAGAAGCUUGACUUACAACUCUGUACUGGAAGGGAAGACCCGAUUGAACACCUUAACCUCUUUGAGUCCACCAUUGUAUACCGGAGACACACCGAUGAAGAACGGUGCUUUCUCUUCCCCUCCACCCUCUCUGGCAGAGCUUUAAACUGGUAUUGCCGUCUUCCACCCGAGACGGUCGACUCAUUUGAAGAGUUGAGGAAGUUAUUUGUCUCUCAACACAUCUUCCAGACCGAUCGCUUGCAUUCCGCAGAUGACUUGUACACUAUUCGCCAGAAGCCGGACGAGUCAUUACGAAAGUAUGCUGGCCGCUUCAGCCAUGAGUAUUCCCGCUGCGCUGAGGCAGAUGACAAGACCGCCCUCAAGGCCUUCACGGCAGGCUUACGUGAUUGUUUCUUCAAGUACAUGAUCAAUACCAACACUUGGAAGACUUACUCUGAGGUGAUGGCACAAGCUUACAACCAUGCCUCUGCCGAGCAAGGACAUAUCAAGGGAAACCCCCUACAGUCACCCCUUAUCAGCAAGUAGGAGUGGAGGCCAGAUCCAAACCGAAUGAAAAGACCUCAACCUUCCAAACGGUAGCAGCACACCCCCUACCUCAUUUAAUGCUUCGCCAAGUCAGCAGACAUAUCAAUCCCAGGGCAAAAGGAAAGAUUUUCCAUCCUCACCAUCUCAUUUUAAUAAAAAGAAUAAGGGGAACUAUCGCGAUAACUCAGUAUAUCGUCACAAUAACACCCAUCCCCAGGCAGUCAACGCAGUGGGCCAAUCGCGUGUCAAGAUAGGCCCACCCGAGGUAUGAGACAUACACACCUUUGAACGCUACAUGCGCGGCCAUCUACCCAGUAUAGCUUACUGAUACCAAGCCAAAGCCAAGAAAGCAGAUUACAAGUCCACGAAGAACACGGCGUGUUUUACUGCUACCACGAGUAUAAUGGCCAUGACGGUGAGAAAGUGCAUCAUCCUCCGUGAUCAUAUCGAAGCUUUGGCACGUGAAGGAAAAAUUGAUCAGUUCCUCCUUCACCCUCCAAGGGAUAACCGUAACCCAAUGCCAGGUGAAUGUGAUAUACUCCAUAAGCGGCGGCACACCCAUGUCUGAAUCUUCCAAUAGGGCCAUGAAAAACAGUGAACGAACUUUGAGACAUGGCAUCAAGUGUUUCACGUGGAAGACAUCAGGGGAGGCAAGUAUCAAAAACCUAACUGGGAUCCAAUAUGUUUCUACCUUGAGGAGAAAGAGGUAUCAUCUACCCUCACAACGACCCGCUGAUCGUGGAGCUCACAUAGAAAUUUUGAUGUGAAACGAAUCCUGAUAGACACAGGUGCUUCAGUCAAUAUCAUGUUUGUUGAAGCUUUCAAGGCACUUAAUGUAGCUGAACACUUGCUCGAUCGCUCGAUUUCUCCUCUAAUAAGCUUCUUUGGCGAUAUCGUGCAACCUUUAGGGAGUAUACACUUACCCCUCACCAUUGGUACAGGCCCCUACACAGCUACUAUUACCACUAACUUCCUAGUGGUCAAUUGCCCGACGGCAUACAAUGUCAUCUUGGGCGCACAGGCAUCAAUGAUCUCAAGGCCAUGGUAUCCACACAUAUGUUGUUGAUGAAGUUUCAACCCCUUCGGCAAUGGAUACAUAGGGGAGAUCAACUUAGUGCUCGAUCAUGUUACAACACUUCAGUUAAGCACCAACACCUGCAUGUCCUCAAGGAGACCCUCUCUAUACAUAACCAGGUAGUAAAGACCAGUCCAGAUGAAGCCAACUCGGAUCUUCAUGAUGGCAACAGUCAACCCGACGACCCUCGAGAUGACUCAUUCACCCAGCAAGCACAACCACGAAGAGUUUGAGAAUGUCUCUAUCUCCAAAGACCAUCCAGAUCGCAUGGUGAAGAUUGGCACCACUUUGUCACCACCCCUUCGGUUGUCGCUGAUCUCCUUUUUGCAAGAGAACGCCGAGGUCUUCGCUUGGUCAUAUAAAGAUAUGCCGGGAUCUCUCCCGAUAUCAUCUGUCACACACUUGAGUAUUGAUCCAAGACCAACCAGUAAAACAGAAGCGAAGAUCUUAUAAUGUUGAACGAUACGAGGCGAUGAAAGCAGAAGUUGAAAAACUCAAGGACAUAGGCUUCGUCCGUGAAGUCAAUUACCCAACAUGGGUAGCAAAUGUUGUCUUUGUUAAGAAAAAUCCGACCAAGGAAAGUCACCUGCUUCAAAAGGUUUUGUGGACAAUGUGUGUCGACUACACCGACCUAAACAAAGGAUGCCCGAAGGAUAGUUUCCCCCUUCCUCUCAUUGAUAGACUUAUAGACUCUACGGCAGGGUGUGAGCUCUUGAGCUUCAUGGACGCUUAUUCAGGAUACAACCAAAUCCUCAUGAACCCCUCAGACCAAGAACACACAGCCUUCACUACUGACAGGGGACUAUAUUGCUACAAAGUCAUGCCUUUCGGCCUAAAGAAUGCAGGAGCAACUUAUCAGAGACUGGUCAAUUCAAUGUUCGCCGAACAAAUUGGGAAGAGCAUGGAAGUUUAUGUUGAUGAUAUGCUAGUCAAGAGCAAACAUGCUGACCAACACAUCACCAACCCUAUUGAGACUUCACCAUUCUAAAGAGGUAUCGAAUGAUGUUGAACCCCAACAAUGUGCCUUCGGCGUGGGAUCUGGCAAAUUCUUAGGCUUCAUGAUUAGCCAACGAAGGCAUUGAAGCUAACCCCGAAAAGAUCAAAGCAAUCCUCGACAUGAAAGAGCCAGUAACUUCAAAAGACAUCCAAAACCUUACUGGUAAAGGUGGCAGCCUUAACCAGAUUCAUCUCUAAGGCCACAGACAGAUGUGCUCCUUUCUUCAAAGCACUCAAGGGAAAUAAGAAGUACAUUACAUGGACGGAGGAAUGUGCCAAGGCAUUCAGGAACCUCAAAGAGUACAUGAGUAAANNNNNNNNNNNNNNNNNNNNNNNNNNNNNNNNNNNNNNNNNNNNNNNNNNNNNNNNNNNNNNNNNNNNNNNNNNNNNNNNNNNNNNNNNNNNNNNNNNNNNNNNNNNNNNNNNNNNNNNNNNNNNNNNNNNNNNNNNNNNNNNNNNNNNNNNNNNNNNNNNNNNNNNNNNNNNNNNNNNNNNNNNNNNNNNNNNNNNNNNNNNNNNNNNNNNNNNNNNNNNNNNNNNNNNNNNNNNNNNNNNNNNNNNNNNNNNNNNNNNNNNNNNNNNNNNNNNNNNNNNNNNNNNNNNNNNNNNNNNNNNNNNNNNNNNNNNNNNNNNNNNNNNNNNNNNNNNNNNNNNNNNNNNNNNNNNNNNNNNNNNNNNNNNNNNNNNNNNNNNNNNNNNNNNNNNNNNNNNNNNNNNNNNNNNNNNNNNNNNNNNNNNNNNNNNNNNNNNNNNNNNNNNNNNNNNNNNNNNNNNNNNNNNNNNNNNNNNNNNNNNNNNNNNNNNNNNNNNNNNNNNNNNNNNNNNNNNNNNNNNNNNNNNNNNNNNNNNNNNNNNNNNNNNNNNNNNNNNNNNNNNNNNNNNNNNNNNNNNNNNNNNNNNNNNNNNNNNNNNNNNNNNNNNNNNNNNNNNNNNNNNNNNNNNNNNNNNNNNNNNNNNNNNNNNNNNNNNNNNNNNNNNNNNNNNNNNNNNNNNNNNNNNNNNNNNNNNNNNNNNNNNNNNNNNNNNNNNNNNNNNNNNNNNNNNNNNNNNNNNNNNNNNNNNNNNGAUAGAAUACGCUCUUCGUUUCAAAUUCAAGGCAUCGAACAACGAGGCCGAAUACGAAGCCCUUCUAGCAGGCUUACGUUUGGCCAAGCAUCUUGGAGUUAAACAAAUUGAUAUCUUCAGUGACUCCCAAUUAGUGGGCAACCAAUUCACGAACAACUUUGAUGCUAAGGAUAGCUCCAUGGCAGCAUAUUUUGCGCAAACACAACUUUUGCUCAAGCACUUCCACUACCAGAUCACCCAAGUUCCUCGAGCGGCAAACAGUCAUGCAGACGCUUUGGCCCGCCUCGCCUCGGCAGUGGAAGACAAGAUUGGGAGAAAAAUUCAUGUCGAAUUGUUGGCAGCACCAAGCACCAUGGUCGCGGAAGUGUGCAAUUUACAACAAGGAGAUAGUUGGAUCACCCCAAUUUAUAAAUUCCUUGCCCAUGGCACCCUCCCAAAUGACAAAGUCCAAGCUAAACAGAUUCGAUACAAGUCUGCUCGCUACCUGAUCAUUAAUGACCAACUCUACAAGCGCGGUUUUACCCUGCCCUACCUAAGAUGCCUUACACCUGCGGAGGUGGAAAUUGUCCUUCGGGAAAUACAUGAAGGAGUCUGCGGAGAUCAUGCUGGGUCUCGAUCCUUAGCACGCAAGACUUUUCGCCAAGGAUACUACUGGCCAACACUCCACCAAGAUGCCAUCAGAAUAUCUCGCUCAUGUGAUAAGUGUCAACGCUACGUAACUAUCCCUCACUCCCCUCCCGGGCCGCUCACUCCUAUGAUCAACCCUUGGCCCUUCGCCCAAUGGGGACUUGAUUUGAUCGGCCCAAUGCCUGUAGGGAAGGGCAAGGUCCACUAUGAAAUCGUUGCAGUUAACUACUUCACAAAGUGGCCUGAAGUAGAACCCUUGGCAACCAUUACUGAGGCAAAAAUAGAAGACUUCGUAUGGAAGAACAUCCUCUGCAGAUUCGGCAUUCCCAAUGCAAUAGUCACGGACAAUGGGCGGCAGUUCGACAACAAGAACUUCAGGAUGUUCUGCUCUAAGUUCAACAUCAACUUAUGUUUUGCCUCUCCAGCCCAUCCCCAGUCUAAUGGACAAGUCGAGGCCGUUAACAAAAUAAUCAAGUGCACUCUGAAAACUAGCUUGGACAAAGCUAAAGGUUGUUGGCCAGAAUUCGUACGCCAAGUUCUUUGGUCAUACCGCACUUCAUAUCGGACUUCCACAAGAGAAACUCCAUUCUCACUUACUUUUGGUACAGAAGCAGUUGUCCCGGUUGAGCUUGAGCCAGCAACAUACCGAAUCCAGAACUACUUGCAGAGUGAAAACGACAAACAACUCACCCUCAACCUGGAUCUAGUCGAGGAACACAGAAAUCAGGCUCACAUGAGGAAUGUCGCCUACAAGCAGCGCAUCUCCAACUACAACGACUCAAGGGUCAAACCCCGCUCUUUCAAAGUGGGAGAAUGGGUACUGAAGAAAAGAUUACUCUGUGAUAGAGUCCCGAGUGAAGGAACACUCAAUCCUAACUGGGAUGGACCGUUCGAAGUCGUCGGCAUCAGCCGCCCUGGCUCCUACAAGCUCAAAAGCUCCGACGGCAAGACGCUUGGCCAUCCAUGGAAUGCUGACCACUUGAAGUACUAUUACAAAUAGACUCACAUUAUACAAGUGUUAAGCUACAGCCGUUCGGCAUCCUAUGUAACAAAAACCAUUUGGUAUGAAUUCAAUAAAGAGGUGAUUUAGCCAACUCGGCCCUAAACUCUUUUACAUUCUGAGCAAUGAAACACUCAAGUGUUGAAGCUUCAACGCAAAUGUUUCCAAUACAAAACAAAAUCUAAGUAUGUGUCAACAAGACUAUACAAAGGAUCUACAUCAUACAUUCCAACACAUUCAUACAUAAACAUCAUACAUUCCAACACAUUCAUACAUAAACAUCAUACAUUCCAACACAUUCAUACAUAAACAUCAUACAUUCCAACACAUCCAUACAUAAGCCAACUGUGCUUCGAAAUGGUUCAACACACUUUGUGUCAUUCGACAUUUGCCACAAUGUGCCUCGACACCUUGCCCUUAUUCUCACCAACUAGGUGAUGAAGGAACUCACCUUCGUACCACCAACUAGGUGAUGAAAUGUACAACCCGUACUCUAAUAUUAUUUGGAAACUUGCCACCCUUAUCACCAAUCAGGUGAAGAAGGAACUCAUCUUCAUGCCACCAACCAGGUGAUGAAAUGUACAACGCGUACUCUCCUUCAUGUCACCAACCAGGUGAUUAAAUGUGAUGAAAGGUGAUUAAGGAAUUCACAUUCGUACCACCAACCAAGUGAUGAAAGCAACCCACCAUUCAUUCCACUAACCAGAAGACGAGUGGUACAACUUGUACAUGUGAACUCCUAGCAUUCACAAAUAAUCAAAAACCAUCAAGCUUUACAACUCAACUAGGGGAGCACUUAUGCCUAACAAGAGCUAUAGUCACCAACAAAGUCUUAUUGCAAGCCAACAAUGGCUUCAGUGCAUGGUAUACGAAGAUCAAGCUCUUCAGCCCUCUUGCAUCUGCUUCAGACAUUUCUCCUCUGUAACAAUGCAAACACUACAACUCAUAGAAAACUUCACACACUCUUGAUCAAGACUGUUCGAAGCAAAUUCAAUUUAUAUGGUUCAUCCAAACCUUCGACUACUACAAGAUGUGGCUUGCAUCAUAAUCUCUCGCUUGACAGUAUGGAAGCAAAAUUUGUAUACGUUGUCUCUCCCACAUUUUCAAAUUUCUAGUUUUCAAAAAAAAAAAAAAAAAAGAGGAAAUUGGAAAUUGGGAAAUUCAACAAAACUUCAUCAAUAGAACACACCUACAAUCCUCAAAAGCUUCGCACUAUCUUCAUCAAGAUAGUGUGAAGCAAAAUCAAUUUAUGGUGCCAACAAAAGCUUCAUCAAUGGAGGACAAAUAUCAAUCUCAAAAGCUUUGCACUAUCUUCAUCAAAAUAGUGUGAAGCAAAAUCAAUUUAUGGUGCCAACAAAUGCUCUCUUCAUCAAGAUAGUGUGAAGCAAAAUCAAUUUAUGGUGCUAACAAAAGCUUCAUCAAUGGAGGACAAAUAUCAAUCUCAAAAGCUUCGCACUAUCUUCAUCAAGAUAGUGUGAAGCAAGAUCAAUUUAUGGUGCCAACAAAAUCUUCAUCAAUGGAGGUCAAUCUCAAAAGCUUCGCACUAUCUUCAUCAAGAUAGUGCGAAGCAAAAUUAAUUUAUGGUGCCAACAAAAGCUUCACCUAUAAAGCUUCACCUAUAAAGCUUUAACACCAAAAGUUUCACCUAUAAAGCUUCAACCCUUCAACACCAAAGCUUCACCUAUAAAGCUUCAACCCUUCAACACCAAAGCUUCACCUUUAAUUUUUAUUUUUCGGAAAUUCGAAAAUUCAAAAAUCCGGAAAUUUGAAAAUUCAAAAAAAAAAAAUCAAAAAAAAAAUUAAAAAUUAAAAAUAAUAAAAUUUGCCUAGGCCUCCUCUUCUUUGGGCCUAACAACUUUCAUAACAAAUAUAUAUGAAGAAGGAGUUUUGGGCUACCACUUCGAAAGGAAAUGCCUCAUUCGUCAACUCCCUCGACCAGAGACUUGGGGGACUCCUAUCAUAUGCUACUGCACCUUGAUACUCGGAAGUCUCAGGACCACUCAGUGACUUGGAUUUUUCAAGUCUCCAAACGAGAAGUUUUCCUCACUCGGGAAAUUAAGGGAGCACUACCUCAACCUACAUGCUUCACUCACAAAGUUUCAACAUACAAGUUUCAACAAAAGGAAAAAUUCAAAGAACUUAGUGAAGAAGGCCUUGGUGUAUUUAACACAAUACAUUGAAAUGAAGCAAAUCUUGUUUAUUGAUAUUUCCGAUAAGUUACAAAUAUGUACAUAUACAUGAAUCAAAAUAAACAAACAAAAGGGAGCCUUCACAAAGGUUGCUCAGGGGAAGUCUCAGCAAUCGGUAGAGCCCCAGAAAGAGAAAGCACCGGAGGGUGGUUAUCCGGAGCCUCAGUACUGGACAGAACCCCAGAAGGUGGAGGCAUCGGAGGUUGAUCAUUUGGAGCUUCAUUACGCGGUACAGCCCCAGAAGACGACGUCAAUAAAUGCCUUUGGAACAAACCCACAAACCGCUGAUGAUCAAGUAAAACUUGACCAUCAGAUUCCUUCAUCUAGUCAAGCUUCCUCUUCAUGUUUGUAGCAUAGUCAUGUGCGAGCCGGUGCAACUGUUUAUUCUUAUGCUUGAGCCCUAUAAUCUCCUGUUUGAGACUCAUCACUUCAGCAGCCAAUGAUUCAACUUGGCGGGUUCUAGCAAAUAGGCGUUGGGCCAUAUUAGACACAGAACCUGCACACUGAACACUAAAAGCCAAAGAAUCCUUAACAGCCAACUCAUCAGAUCGUUUGGAAAGUAGUCUGUUAUCUUUGGGAGUGAAAAGGUUCCUGGCCACCACCGCAGCGGUCAUAUCAUUCUUCAUCACAGAAUCCCCAACGGUAAGAGGACCAGUAGGGGAUAUGAAAGAUGGGCGCCAUAUGUUGUCUGGAGAAGGCGUGGCUGUCUCUUCUCCAAGGUUCAAGUCAAAACGACGGUCAGAGAGGCCAGACAUUUUCAAAGGUGUUGAAGAGGGAAGAGGUCAGACAAAUCAAGAUCUUAGAAGUGUAAGAAGGGAGCUUCUACUGGUGGAGAUUCAAGUGUGCUGUGGAACUUAAUGCCAACCUCUAUAAAAAUCUGCACUUGAUGGAGCUUCAGGAAUCGAAGAGGCGUUUGCUUUCUCGAAAGAUGAGCUGCUCAGAGACCACGAGGGCCGAUCUCAAAAAUCGAAGAAGCACCUGCUUUUUCAGCCUCGUCAGCACCUGUCACAUGCACACUCAGCUUUGCGGAAAUUACGGGCAAUCUGUCGAAGAUUUCUGGUGAAGUAUAAAGCACGUGAAUCUUACUGUUCAAUCACCACUCUCUACACGCACCAUCAACUCCUCGGGUACCACAUAUAACUUUGCCAAAGAUCUCUGACAAAGUUUAGGCACGAGAAUUUCGAAGUUCCAGCUACCCUACUAUUACCCACAAGGGUAAAAGAACAGCACCACUGCUUGACAAUUGGAAAGUCCCUAUGUGUGUCGACCUCCGUGUUCUGUGGCAAGACAGGCUGGCAAGAACGUCCAACCUUUACUCACAUUCGAGAAAAGACUCCCAACAUAAUUACUUUCUCAAAAAUCGAAACGGCACCGCUUUCUGAAUCUCGAGAGCCAGAUCCCCGACGGGAUUGCUUGUUCGAAAACCGAAGAGGCACAGCUCUCAGAACUUUGAGAGCCAGAUUUCCUUAGAUAAAGCUUGUCUGUAAUCUUCACACGCAACAUCAGCUUUCCAGAUACCACAUACCACUUUUUCAAAGUGCUCUAACAAAGUUAAAACACGUGAAGCUGGCAGCUCCCACUACAUUACUGUGACCAAGAAGGGUAAAGGAAUAGCAUUACUACUUGUUAUUGGGAAAUCCCUAUAUACAUCGACCUCCCUCCUCAACGGACAGGCAAACCUGCAAAAAUGCUCAACCCUUUCUCGCAUUCGAGAAUGCACCCUCAACAUAACCUCUCGAAAUACUCAGCUUUAUUUCCCCCCGAUAAUACCUCAGCAAAUAAGCCACACCAAGAACAAGAGUAUCUCAUAUCAUCAGGGUCGAAAGCAAGAGUAUCCCAUAUCAUGCUUUCUCCAUGUCCUUGUCUUCGUCCUUGUCCACACCUGCAGGACAAAGAGAAAGAGAGCAGUCAGUCGGAACCUGAAAUCAAACCUCCAAUCUGGAACUUACUGCCUGAGACCUUUGCCUGGUUGCUUACCUAGCAUUGCUCUCGAGAACUCAUCCUCAACUGCUGUCAAGGUCAUGAAUUCCACCAGCACAUACCUCAUGACAGUUGAUCAGAUAUUGGCUCUUUACACUGAAGCUGCCAAGCGUGGAUAAGUCACUAUGAAGGAAUGUUCUGAAUGACCAUUUAAAUGCAAAGGUUGCACACCACUUCUGCCAUGCAAAAGAUUGAAGCAGAAGGUUCAACGGUGAGCUGAAACAGAUCACUACAGCACGACACCUUUCCAUACCACAUUCACUAUUCCGUCAACAGCAAAAGUAUCCCAUAUCAUCAAGGUCAAACGUACUCUAGAUUUGAUGGACUUGUUUUGACCCUCAAAUUCUUGAGUCGGCCUUAUACUCUGAAGGGAACCAGAAAACCCUCCAGCACAGUUCAAAAAUAAGCCUGUGGAAAGUUACUUCUUCAAAAGCAAAAGUAUCUCAUAUCAUCUCUUCUCCAUUUGCUUCUCCUUAUCCUGGCAGCUAAAUGAGAGACAAGGAGAAUGAGAACAAUCAACCGGAAGCCGAAGUCGAACCUCCAAUCCUGGGUUGCUGCCUUGGAAGUUUGACUGCUUACCUUGUCUGUCACCUCUUUCGGCAGAUCUCCUAGCUCGGCGACUUGGGGGACUCCUACUAUAGGGUUUGUAUCGCACUUGACCAAGCCCGAAACUACAAGUAAGCUUCAAGUGAAAUUGAUACAUUACCUUAUGCAUCUUCAUCGGUUAAAGAUACCACCCAUGGAUGGAGGAAAAGUACUUCCAGAGAAGAUGCCACAUCUACAUAUGAGACAUAUAAGGCACGUGAAAAUGAUACCACGCUUCAGUACUUAGAAGUUUCGUGAUUACUCAAUGGCUUGGAUCUUGCAAGUCCCCAACCGAGGAGCUUCUCUCACUCAAGAACUUAGGGGAGCACUGCUUGUACCAUACUUGACCAAUCCCGAAACUACUAAGCACCGGUCAACGUUAUACCGUCAAGGACCCAGAAGAGCUUCCCCUUCAACCAGGAGGCCAAUCACAAUGCAACACGUGUCGACAUCAGAAGCCAAUCACAGCGCGACACGUGUCAACAUCAGAAGCCAAUCACAGCAUGACACGUGUCAAUGUUAGAACAAAACUAGAAACUCUCUUCUAUAAAUAGGGAUCAUUCUCCCACAAUAAUCUCUAAUGUCAUUUUGUACUAAACUAUUCACUAGAACUCACAAAAUGAGAGCUUGAACCUAUGUAUUUGUGUAAACCCUUCACAAUUAAUGAGAACUCCUCUACUCCGUGGACGUAGCCGAUCUGGGUAAACCACGUACAUCUUGUGUUUGCUUCCCUAUCCCUAUUCAUUUACGUACUUAUCUUCACUAGUGAUCGAAGCAACCAAGCGAAGGUCACAAACCUGACACUUUCUGUUGUACCAAAGUCCUCGCUGAUUUUGUACAUCAACACACACGAAUUACAUUGGAUAGUAGACAUGAAUAAACUAUCAAACCAAACAAUGUGGUCAAGAGUAUUGUAUUAGAAAAAGACCGUAUUGCAUUUGUAAUCCUAAACUGAAUAGGUUCUCUACCUUUUCUGAUUAGCUUGGGUAACCAUGAUAUGCUGCUAGGUGUCACUCUUGGUUUGUGGAAGCCCUAAACGUGUAUAAACACUAAAGGGAGAAUUGAAAGUAAGUUUCAAUUCAUAAUCAAUUUGAAAGAGUUUUAAUCGCCCACUGCCUCGCUAAAAGGAACCUAAUGGAUCGUACACCGUGUAAGGUGGAGAUUGAAGAAACAAUGGAGAUGAGUAAGAAUAAUUAAAUGGUUUAAUUAUUUAUUUAUGGCAAGGAUUAAUUAAUAUGUUAAUUAAUCAAACGAAUAAGUUCGUUAAAGACCUCGGGAUAGUUUUGGACCUUAAGGCCCAAUGGGCUUCGAACGUCAAGCCCAUUGACUUAAGUUGUAUGACAAUUUAAUGAAUAAAGAUUCAUAAAGGCCCAAAAGCCCAAAUCCCUUAUAUGGCCGGCCAUGUGUGUUGAAUUAGGGUUUUUGGUUCUUUAGGUCAUUUAAAGAAGUGACUAUAUAAAGAACUUUAUAGCCUAAAAUUCAUUAAGGGUUUCUUUUAGGAAAUUGGAGAGAACACAAAGUUCUUCUUUCUCUCUAAAGAGGUCGGCCCCCUUGGAGGGAUUAGCUAGCAAUCCCACUCCUCCAAGGUCACUCAUUUCUUCUCCAAUCUAACCUUGGUGUAGACACUUAGAGGUUCUCAAUUUUGGGAACUUGGAGAACCAUAUUCUUCCAUCCAAAUCCAUGGAUCUAAGAAGCAAGGAAUGAAGGCCCUCUCCUUGGGUGAUUAGCUUUUGCUUAUGCAAAGAGGAAUCUACAAAGGUAUAAAUUUCUCAACUCACUUUGAUUUGAGUUGAGUCUUGGUUCACCAAUCUACUAGGCUUUGAAUUUCAUGGUUAAUGUUUUGUUUUGAAUGCAUGCAAGCAUGAUUCCGCCUUUUAAUUGUUAAAUGCAUGCUAUAGAUGUUAUUCAAAUGAACAUGUUUUCACAAAAUCAUCCUUCAGCUUGGCCCCAUAGUCAUAAUAGUCGACGGUACGUUCACCCCUGGUUGUCUUGAUACGAACUUUUAUCCCUCUUGUUGUAAUGGGAUUACCCAAUUCCUCAUAGUUAUAAUGUGUUGAGAGACAAACAGUUUCCUCAAUUCCUCAAAUGAGUCUACUGUCUUAGGUGGAAGACGGCAAUACCAGUUUAGAGCUCCGCCAGAGAGGGUGGAGGGGAAGAGAAGACAUCGCUCUUUGUCGAUGUGCAUUCAAUAUGCCAUGGUGGACUCAAAGAGGUUAAGGUGUUCAAUUGGGUUCUCUUUUCCAGUAUAGAGUUGUAAACCAAGCUUUUGUUUUGUCUUCGCUUGAAGGGAGUGUCGAGGAUCAUUCUUGUGAGAGGGCCAGGCCUGGGUUGGUUCCAGUCAGGUAUCUCGGCCUAACGUUCGGCCUUUAACUUGUUUACUUCCUCAAGAAGCUGUAGGACAAGGGGGUCCUGAGUGGAGUCAUGUACCACUAGAAUUUUCUUUCGUAAGUCUCCAUCACCUCUUGGAAGUAGGAAAGUUUGAGCAAGGGCGUGUGGUUUUUUCUUGGACUCGCCGUACUGACUUCUAGGGCGAGUCUGUCGGAAUACCUCAGAGUCCCCCGUACCUUCAUGUUCCUCUGGGACCUGUCGUUCCUUCCCUAGAUUGGCAGCUGGCCUGGGUCGUGGGAGGGGACCGAGUCUUUCAGAAACCCUUGGGUCAUUGAUCUUCGAGCAUAUGUGGAGGGGAUUCUCUCAAUGCUUCUUUGGGAAGUCUCGGCAGUCAUGAUAAACGACUUUCGAUCCUUCCAACCCUUCUGCAAUGAGGUGUCUUUCUCCACUUCUUCUACUUUGGGUCAAAGCAUCUGGGUUGAGAGAAGUCUUAUGUUGAUCAAUGUUUUGAUGAUUAGCUCGCUCCUCAUUAAGGAUACCCAUGUCGAAGGGAGGUGACCCUCCGUGUUGGGGGCACCCAGAUGAUGGUUGAUGUUCACAAGGGCAACGACCUCGCGUGUUUAAGUACACCUAAUUUCGUGGAGCGUCUCAAAGAGCUUCUCAUACUACUUCUGGAAGACCUCAUUCUUCAUUGCUAUCUUGUUUUUCUUAGCUUCUAGCUCAUCGACUUAUCGUCUUUAACUAGAAGAGCAACCUUAUAUCCUUCCUUCUUUCAUUGCUUCGCACUUGCAAAAGGGGUGUCAUUUUGUGUGUUGUGGCUUCCUUCGCUCCCCAUGUUGGAGAGGGAUGCCUGGUCAAAAGAAAGUGUACGAAUGGUGGAAACCAGCUUGGCAAAGCUAAAGAGAGUGGGAAUAAGUGUCGUUCCCACAGACGCCGCCAAAUGUUGAUGCACAAAAUCAGUGAAGACUUUGGUACAACAAAAAGUGUUAAGUUUGUGACCUUCGUUAGAUUGCUCCGGUUACUAAUGUGGAUAAGUAUGUAAAUGGAUAGAGACAGGGAAGCAAACACAAGAUGUACGUGGUUCACCCAGAUUGGCUACGUCCACGGAGUAGAGGAGUUCUCAUUAAUUGUGAAGGGUUUACACAAGUACAUAGGUUCAAGCUCUCCUUUAGUGAGUACAAGUGAAUGAUUUAGUACAAAUGACAUUAGGAAAUAUUAUGAGAGAAUGAUCUCUAUUUAUAGAAGAGAGUUUCUAGUUUGAUUCUGACAUUGACACGUGUCAUGUUAUGAUUGGUUUCUGAUGUUGACACGUGUCGCGCUAUGAUUGGCUUCUGAUGUCGACACGUGUCGCGCUGUGAUUGGCAUCCUGGUUGGAAGGAAACUCUUCUAGGUCCUUGACGGUAUAACGUUGACCGGUGCUCAGUAGUUCAGGAUUGAUCAAGUAUGGUACAAACACCCUAAAUUAGGCUAAGAGAAGAAACGUCCUUUAAAAUUCGGCAAUAAGGGAGUAUCCCCCUUAAAUUCGGCUAGGGAAUCCAAAUUGAUCCUAAAACUAGAAAGAAAGCUAAAGCAUCUUCAUAAAACAAGUAAGAAUUGAAGAUUGCUCACAAAAUAGGCAACAAGAUCCUUAAAUUCAGCCAAGGGAGUAAAGUGGCUGAAAUUAAGACACAAAACAUGCCUAAAAUCAUCCCAAAGGCAAGCCUUGAGAAGCCCAUAAAUACAAGGUCCUCCCAUAAGCAUAAGGGUCGAAAAAUGUCUACACAGAAGAACCUUUGCCAAACCUUGGAAGACUAAUAUGUUGCCAAAGCUCUCUUCGAAGAACAUUCAACCAAAGCCGAAGCUUCCUCUGGACCAAAGCUGAAGCACUUCCUUGAAGAAUCAACAAGUGCUCGUGCUGAUUCCUUCAAGACUUUGUUGCAAGCUUAUAAACUUGUAGCAACGUUCGUUUCAAGAUCAAGUUGCCAAGAUCCUUAAAGCAACAAAAUCUCGCAUCAAACACUACCUUUGCCACUCCUUUGAGGUGAAGAUCAUCCACGCGUUGUUUUCAAGCUCAAAACUUGAAGUAAUCGUUUAAUCGUUUUUCCGAGAUUAAGUCAUCGCGACCCUUGGAUCCACAAUCACGCAUCUACAUCAAAUUUGAAGACUAAAUCAGAUGAAAAGUUGUAAAUAGAGAUUGUAACCUACAAAUUUAAAUCAAUACAAAUCUACUUUGCACACGUGUUCUCGUCUCAUUCGAUAAAGCUCACACAUAAAGAAAUAUAUAAAACGAUAAAUAAUAUGUAAAAGAGAAAGAAGUUAGACAAAAAUGAGAGAGAGGGGGAGAGAAGGAAACGUAGGUGUGAAAAAAUUUUAUUCUUAUAAAAUUAGAGGCGUGUUUGGUGACUAUAGUGAGGGAAAAAAACAAGAAAUUUAGUAAAAUGUCAUAACAAACUUUACUAAUGAACCAUAUAUCAAUGAUCAAUUUUUAUUUUGGAUCUUGUUGAUGCACAACGGAUGGAAUUUGGAACAACGUAAAGUGUCAAAUUUGUGACCUUCGCAAGGUUGCUUCGGUUACUUAGUGAGCAUAGUAUGUAAAGAGAGAGAUAAGGAAGCAUAUAUAAUAUGUACGAGGUUCAUCCUAAGUUGGGCUACGUUCACAUGGUAUAGGAGUUCUCAUUAAUAGUGAAGAGUUUACACAAUACAUAGGUUCAAGCAUAAUAUCAUCAUUGACAAGUUCUAAUGACGAAUUUAUGUACAAUAAUGGCAUUAGGAAUUCAUUGUAGGAGAAUGGUCUCUUCUUAUAGUUAAGGAGAGUCUCUGGGUCCAUCCACGGUCGAUAUGACACUCUAGGAGUUUGAUUCUAGUGUUGCCACAUAUCAUGUUGUGAUUGGCCUCUUGGUUCGAAAGAAACUCUUGUGCUUCGGUAAGGGUGUCUCAGCAAGAAUCCUUCAGUAGAUCCCAAUUCUCGAAAGAAACUCUUUGGGAUGGAUAACAAAAGCCGGAUUGGAUUUCGACAUGUUUUAAUUGAAGCUUAGAUCAGACACUAUAUUGCAAUUUAUGUUCUAAAGUUCUCUAGAUUUAGGCUUUGUAAAUGAAAUUAUGAAAAAGUUUGCUUCUGGAUGGUUUUUUUUUUUUUUUUUUUUUUUUUUUUUUUGCCUUAAGCAUGAAAAUGGUAAUUGGACAAGGGUGGGGUUGGCUAUACUCCCAGGACAUGGGAAACAUAUAAAACGUCCUAAUUCUAUGAAUAAAUAUAUUACAGAAGAUUAAAUGUGUGUCCAAGCCAUCACUAAGAGGAGAGUUGGUCUAAUUAAGUAGAGGAGCUUGCCAAGAGAGAGCUGGUGAAAUGAGAGAGCACAAGGUUCUACGUCUGCAAUUCAAAACCAGGAAACGAACAUUGUGUUGUACUGCUUGAAUCCAAAUGUAAAAUCAGGAGUUGUGUGAGUGUGAAGCAUAGAAGGCGAUUAAGUGAUAAAAAAAAUCAGGAAACAGAUAGUGUAAAGCAGCAUCAUAAUAGAAAUGUAAAAAACAGAACCAAAAAACAAAUAUUGCAUUGUCUGAAUCCAAAUGUAAAAAUAAUGUAAAGUAUCUAAAUCCAAAUGUAAAAAUCAAGUGUCGCACGAAGUGUGAAGUGUAGGAAGUGUGUGACUGAUGACAAAAACAAAAUUAGAAAACAGACACUGCAACGCAACAUCUAAAUCCAAAUGUAAAACAAAAACAAAACCAAGAAACAAUAUUGACCUAUUUCGAAAUGUAACAAAAUAUGAGAAAUGGUGUGUCUGGGUGACAACUGUAGUGGUUCAAGUUGUAAUUUUUGUUUAUUUAUAAUACAUUUAUAAAUAUUGUAACUUUUAUUGAUUUUAUACAUAAUUUAUUUUUAUAACUAAGAUAUGGCUCACACCCUAACUCAUGAAUAGUCUUUAUUCGCGGGUCGAGGCGUGACAUGUAAUCUAUUAAAGUCGUCUCAAAUUAUCAAAGAGACGACCCAAUGACCCACUAUCGUCCUUAACUUGUUAAUUAUCAUCUGCACAGUUUGACAAAUGUGAAGUUUUAUCAUAAAAGUCUCAGUAUUAGUUGAAAUGAUGUUAGAAUAUAUAAACUCUUCUUUUCUCCCUCAUUAUGCUGAUUUGUAAUAUUUCAACAAGUCAAAUAUGAUAUUUUUCACUUACAAGUAAAAAAAUGAGAAUAAUUUCGCUCACGAUACUCAAUUGAUGGUAAUUGUUUGCCAUCUUUUUAACACCGUUAUAUAAGUUUAAACUUCAAAAUCUAAAUACUAAUAGAUACAAAUUUUAACCAUUAAUAUAUAGAGUGGCGUUAACAUACCUGCCCGUGAGCAAAAAUGACAAAAAAAUGUUAUCCAAACAGGUUGAGAGUGGAAAGCAGGAAAUAAAAGAUACUCGCUUGAUUGGAGGACCACGUAGGCAGUAAGGAAUUUUUUAAAUUUCUUUUUUUUUUUAAAUUGAAAUUUAAAAUAUUUUAAAAUUCAAAAGCGAGUGACGGCACCCAAAGAAAAAGCAAAUGGCAAUGAAGGCGUUGGAGUAAAUGCAAAUUAAAUUAUUAAUUAAUUGUAACUUGUAAGAAUGCAAAAUAGCAAAUUAGGGCUUGGCUUUUAGUUGCUUUUUUAAUAAUAGCCCGUAGAGGCAAAGGCACGAAAUAAAAAGAAAAUGAAAAAUAUCAGAAUUAAAAUAUAACCAAAUAUUCAGAUUUCUCGCAUUUCUUAGAAAAAGGGCUUCGGAGCCGCUCUGCGUUUUCGUUCCGGAACCCUAGAAUUUCCGCGUCGCCGUAAUUUUUCUGAAUUAUUGGUAAGUCGAACGUAAUUUAUGGGCUUAUUUUUGGAUUUUCCUUAAUUUUCAGUGAUUUUAUUUUAUGAUUCUUUUACUGUAAAUUGGCAAAAUAUAAGUCUUUUAUUUUCUAAAAGACUGGUGGAAUGAAAAUGCUGAAUCUUGUCUGGUUUAAGCUUUAGUAUUUGAAUAUUUUGCUUGAUCUGCGCUGAAAUGGGAAAAAAAGCAAACGUAAUUUGUUUUUUUCGGGUGGUUUAAAACGAGGUCUGGAAGUUGGGGUUUGUGUAAAUUAAUCCCAGAUGCUGUCAGGGUUAGGGUUAGAUACUUUUGCAGAAUAAGCUUACUGGGAAUCUACCACCAUCUUCUUCUGGUUUUCGUUUUCGUUUUUGUUUUUACUGGUUGUUGAAGAAUUCAGAUGCUAAAAGUAAAAUUUUACAUAUUUAUACCUCUACUUUUUAGAAUGUAGAUUAGGGUCUGUAAAUUGUGGCUAUGAGAAAAUGGUAAAUUUCCGUGUCCUGAUCUGCUUUUUAUUUUUUAUUUUUCAUUUUUAUUGUGUUUCAGGGAUUUUAGUUUGAUGGAAUUUUAGUCCAAGUGAAAAUUGCGAAUUUAUAAAAUAAAAUAAAAAAAAAAACUAAAAGGGAAAAAGAAAAAAGAAAAAUGUCAGGAUCUGAGACGGGAGUGAUGACGAGUAGGGAGCCGUUUCUGCAGAAGAAUCCUAUUCAGUCACAGUCCGCCAUCCAGAGUAUGCGGUUGAACUUCAGUGCUGACGGCGGCUCCGCUCUUUACAAGUCUGUUGCCACCGCCACCUCACCUGCUUACCAGUCCUCAGUCACCUCCGCCGCUGCUUCCGGAGGAGGUGCUGUUGUCCCGGGGGCUGCCGGAGAGGGUGCAGUUAUGGCCCCUGCUGCUACUGCUGGGCUUAACAUGAACAUGGGUACUGAGCCAAUGAAGAAGAAGAGAGGGAGGCCCAGGAAGUACGGGCCGGAUGGCACAAUGGCAUUGGCUCUAUCACCAUCAGUCCCGCCUGUGACCGUUAGCUCGUCCAGUGUUGGAGCAUUUUCUCCUGCUCCUGCUCCUCCUUCUGGGGGAGGUUCUGCCUCACCACCACCCACUUCGACUUCCACCAAGAAAUCAAGAGGCAGACCACCUGGUUCUUCCAAGAAGCAACAAUUGGAUGCUUUGGGUAACCUUUCUUUCCUUUUCCAUUCUAAAUUCUUAAACUUUUUGAAAUUCUUAAAAUUUUGAAUCUAACUGGGUUUUAUUUAUCCUUUGAAUCUUAUAUUGUAUUUUGUUUUUGUUCUGGGUCAUUGAUUUUGUUAUUAUUUUUGGGUUUAGCAAAUAUUUGUGUGAUGUGGGUUUGAGAGGUCGGGUCUUGAGGUAACACAACAGUGUCUAUUAGUUUAAUUUUAUUAUGUAUCAUCUGUGCUGGAAAUCUGGAAGUGGUUCCCGUUUGGUUUUGGUUUCUGACAGGAAAUGAAUGGAUUUAAUAAAAGGGAUAUAUUCGGGGAUGACUUUAUGAAAUAGAAAAGGGUACAGCAAAGGAUGUUAUGCUUGAGAUUCUUUCUUAUGUGUCAAAUUUACUUAUCUGCCCUUGAUCACUAUAUUGCAAUUGUAUGUAUACUGUAGGUGUAGGCAUAGAAUGAUACUUAACCUUGAUUUUCAUGAUUUUUCAUGCGUAUAUGAUUGCUUUUGGUAUUUGGUUAAAACGAUGGUACUUCUUGCAAAGGGAAUUACUUGUUUUAAACUCCUUUUGACAGUCUAUUUUACAGCACAACUGUAUCAAUAUGCAUUUAGAAAACAUAUCCAAUACUGGAAAUAAAUUGCUUUUGGAAGUUUCCUUUUGAACAAGUCCCCCAUCCCGUUUAAAUUUUCUUAUAUAAUGUUUAAUUUAGUAUUCCAACUCCAUCAAGUGCUAAAACUAGAAUUUUCAACUAAACAAAUUUGUUUAAUGGUUCAUUUUAUAACUUAUAGAUGCAUGCUUUCAGUGGCAAUGGAUCUUAUUUUAUUCUUUAUCUUUCUAAAAGUCAAUUUUAAUGUUGCUUUUUCGCUGCAAAUAACUAUAUAAUGAUAACUGUACUAUGGUUUAAUUAGUUUUACUGUUUGUAGGAGCUCCGGGAUUUGGAUUUACACCACAUGUUAUCACUGUAAAAGCUGGAGAGGUUUCUAAUUUCCCUUUUCUUUCUUUAAUAACUUAGUUUUCAUACUCUUCCGUGGUUGAUCAUCACUGCAUGCGUAGUCUGACCAGUUGUUGAGCAAGAAAUGUUAUUUGAGUGCACUAUAGAUAUCUAUCUAUUCUCUCUAUGUUGAGGAGCUCAUCUCUUCCAUAUCGUGCACUUCUUUAAUUUGGCUGAUUAUGCAAGUUCUUUGAUACGGUAAAUGCAUGUGUGAUACAUCACUCACUGAAUCUUGUUAAGCUCCUUUUUUCUCUGUCUACUUGGAGUUCUGAGUGCUUCAUCUAUUGAAAUUAACAAUAUUUAGAUCCAAUGGUUGGCAAUGCUGGGUAUAUUUAAUUCAAAUAUUUAUUUUAUGAGUUCAAAUUCAAAUAAUUCUGGUUUCUUAUAUUUUCAUAUCAUUGGAACUGAACAUCAAGAUUUACUAUUUAGGGAAUAAUUGGGCCAUUGGAGUAUUAUACUUUCCUUCACAGCUUUCUGGGAAUUUAGAACUUUAAUCACAAAAUUCUCCUGAGGAUAUCAUUUCCCAUGUCACGGUCUGAUCCCAUCCCAAGAGCUCAUCACCAGUGAGCUAGCUGCUAAUAUGAUUGAAUGUCAUUAAUUUUACAUGCGCACCCCCUUUAUUGUUUGGCCGGCGUACUCAUCAUUUUUCUAGUUGAUAGCACUAUAUUGAAAUUUUAUUUUGAUGCAUUUAACCUUUCAGGAUGUAUGGUCAAAAAUAAUGUCAUUCUCUCAGAAUGGUCCUAGAGCUGUUUGCAUAUUGUCUGCAACUGGAGCCAUCUCUAAUGUGACUCUUCGCCAACCGGCCACAUCUGGUGGAACUGUAACAUAUGAGGUUUGUGAGAUUGCUGGCUGUCUUGUCUGUUGGCCGUUCCUGGUAUCCAAGUUGAACUUUGACAUAUAAUGUGUUGAACUUUUCAUACAGUUUUGUUGUUAGUAUGUUGGGCCUCAGUAGCUGUUCUCUGGGAACAUUGACUGGGGAUUAAUAUUCCAAGUCUCUCUAGGAACAGUUAUGUUUUUUUUUAGGAUACAUGACUACGCCUAUACUAAUGAGUUUAUGCCGCCAUGUUCUGACAUGAUUGUUUAUGUUUGGUUUGCGAACUUUUGAACACCAUAGGUUUAAAUUAAUGAAUUAGUUACUAUCUGGGUUCUACUCUAGGAGCAUGUAAUGUAAAAAAGCAUGUUUGCUCUUUAGUUACAUGUAAGAUUUAGUAUCUGUCACAAUUCACCCCAGUACUGAGUUUAUUGUUUUUACACAAGUAAUUAUCAUUAACUUUCUGUUAAUUAUAUGGUAGUCACCAUAGGGAUUGUUUUCAUCUUAUGUAUUAUAUCUACCUAUGAGUUAUUUCUCGCUAUUUCCGUUUUCUCUUAUGAAUUUUCAUAUGCAGGGGAGGUUUGAAAUUCUGUCACUCUCAGGCUCGUUUCUUCUAUCUGAAAUUGGUGGUCAGCGGAGUAGAACUGGGGGCUUAAGUGUGUCAUUAUCUGGCCCAGAUGGCCGAGUUUUAGGUGGUGGCGUGGCAGGUCUUCUAACGGCUGCCUGCCCUGUUCAGGUACGUUUUAUUUUUAAAUUAUUUUAGAUUUUACUUGUGAUGUGAAAAUUAAUAGUUGAAGGAAAUGAAUCUUCCAUGAUGUGUGGGUCUACAAAUUAUGAAUCUAGACAUAGUACGAGCCAUAUGUUUGAAUUGAGCACUUUCAGAUACAGCUCUUCAUAUGAUUGAAUCUUUCUCUUAUUAAAAAAGAAAAAAAAAAUUUGAUGGACCUAAUAUAACCAGUGAUUUUGGGGGUUACCAUUUCAUUGCAGGUGGUAGUCGGAAGUUUUGUUGCAGAUGGUCGGAAAGAAUCAAAGACUGCGAACCAAAUGGAUCCUUUGUCUGUAGCACCAAAAUUUGAUCCGGGCAGUGGUCCAACAGGAGCAAAUAGCCCCCAGUCACGUGGAACACUGAGUGAAUCCUCAGGCGGGCCUGGAAGUCCGCUUAACCAAAGCACAGGAGCCUGCAAUAACAAUAACCUGCAAGGCAUGUCAAGCAUGCCAUGGAAGUGAAUGGUUUGGCAACCUGAGGGAAGGCCUUUUCACUAAUUUGUGCAGUAGGCAUGAUCAGCGGAUGUUGUGUUUCUUUAGUCGAGGCUCGAGAGCAGGAGAAGGUUGUAGUUUAUGCAUCGUGAAAUGUAUGACUAGUACUAGUAGAAUAAGGAAUGCAGAAUGCUUUGCAGCUUGACCUUAUAGAGGAGCAUGGCCGGCUGGAAGUGUCAACCAGGUAACAAGAAGUGUGUGAAGUAGAAAUUAGAUUUUUAAGUCUUGUGAUGGUAGGGACUUAAUUAGUAGGAUUAAUUAUUAAUUAGGAUGAGUUAGUGAUCUAGUUUCUCACACGUUUGGCUGCUUGUAAUCGUUGUUGACCCUUUAGAUUAUGCUGCUCAACUUCGACUUGUUCUCUAAUGAUAAGAUGCGUUGAUUUUAUUUUUUUUUUCCCCUCAUAAUUGUCUAGCUUUAAUUUUAGAGUAAAUUACAUAAUACCUCGUUAGGUUUGAGGUCUAUUAUAACUCCAUACAGCAUCUUUAAAGGGUUGUGAUAUCCAUACAUCCCAUUUUACUUCUCACAUAUUUUUUUAAUUUUUGGCCUUCGGAUCGGAUGAAUUGAAGAAGAUCAACGGACAGAAAUUAUCAAGGGGGUGUGUGAGAAGUAAAAUAGGGUGUGUGAAUAGCACACCCCAUCUUUAAAACAUUUCACUUCUAUACCUUACCUACUAUUUUAUUUUAAUAUAAUACAUCCGUUACAUUUUUCAUCCAUUUGUUAAGAGCUGACGUUGCUGCUAGGGGUGGGUUGGAAAAACCGAAAACCGAAAAAAACCGACAACUGAACCGAACCGAGACCGAAAAAAUAACCGAACCGAAUCUGUUGAACCGAACCGAACCGAAAUAUGAAAAUAAAAUAUAAAUACUCAAAACCUGCUGGAGUGGAGAUUUGAACCCCUUUCGUUCAGGUUGGGGAUAGCUUCCUUCAAACCAACUUGACUGUAGGCUUUGUAUUGCUAUAAUUGUACCAGUGUAAUAUUUAUAGGAAUUCUAAUCUUAAUGUUUUAUAAAAUUUAUAAAGUUCACAAACCCUAGCCGUCAUUCAUUUUCAUUCUCAAAUCUCUCUUCUCUCUUUCUCUCAUCCGCUGCGCUUCCUCAGUCUCUCUCUCCCUCCUUCUCUUCCUCCCUUCAACUCUCCUUCCUCUCUUCCUCUCUUCCUCUCUCCAACCUGCCAAGUCCAUGGUUGUAACAUGGAUCUUACUUUUUUAAAGGAUUACCACAGGAGGAGUAGGGUUUGUGAUGAAUUUAUUUGACAAUCCUCAUUUUUUCCCUUUCCAAAUCUUACGCCUCUUGUCUCUCUACUCCUCGUCUGAUAGACUCUCUAUGGACUCUCACCUAUAACAACAACUUCUUCACUCCUUUCUAAUAUUCCUUUCUUUCUCCAUAAACUUUCGAUCUCUGCUUUUCAAAUACAAGCCAAAUAGUUUUUUACUCUAGAUUCAUAUGGAGGUCGCACCAGACAUCCAUCUUUGUUCCUCCGGAUUUCUUUAAUAGUAAGUAUUCAAUUUUUUCUUUUUUUUUUCUUUUUCUUGUUUAAUUCUUUGAGUGCUGAAAAAUGAAAAUGGUAGUUUUUUUUUUUUUAUGUUUUGAUUAAUAGUUUUUAUUUCUUUGGUUUGUUGACUAUGCUAUUUGAAUUUAUUUGUUGACUAUGCUUUGUGAAUUUUUGAAGAAAAAUUGCUGAUGUUAUUCUUGGAUUUGUCUUUGUGGAGCCCUAUGUAGUAAAGAUCUUUGGUUUUUGGAUCUUUAUUUUUAUUAAACCUUUGGAUCUCGUUUGUUUGGCUGUGUUCAGACAGGUGCUCGUGGCCGGAUGUUACAAUCGGCGAGGCGUCGGUUGGUUGGUGGCGAGGGUUUGUGCUAGUAGGGAUGCUCGGCGGCGGGUGCUGCAGUAGAAGCCUAGGUUUUCUUUUGUUGUAUUUUAUGACUUGGGCCUUUACUGUUUGUUGGAACUAUUGGGCUAGUAUGGCAGGGUCCUCUUUUGGGCUAGUUUACUAAUAUCCAGAUCUAAAAUAAUAAUAAUAAUAAUAAUGAAAAAAACCGAACCGGACCGAAACCAAACCGAAAAAAAUCGGAACCGAAAAAAACCGAACCGAAAAAAACCGAAAAAAACCGAAAAAAAUUGAACCGAACCGAACUGAACCGAAAUUUCGGUUCGGUUUCGGUUUUGACAAAAAACCGAACCGUUUCGAACCAAACCCAGCCCUAGUUGCUGCCACAUUUGUACCACGUGGUUGCCAUGUUUGUACCACGUGGCAAAGAAAAUAAAUUUUUUUUUAAACUUGAAUCUUCUUGAAAAAAAAAAAAAAAAAAACAAAAACCAAAAAUCCCCUUCUUCCCCACCUGAGCCCAUCCCCAUCACCCACCCCUACUUGAGCCCACCCCCUUCUCCCUCACCCAUCACCCAUCACCCAUCAUCCACCCCUUCACCUUGCUAAGAUGCCAGAUGUAAUGGGCGUGAAGCCGUUGAAACCCGUUGAGAGUGAGGACCACAGAUCACAGCUGUUGGUGGUGGUUGGGAUUUUGGGGCAACCAUCUCAAUCUCCUCAUUCUUUUUCCAUCACAACCACCCAUUCAAACUUCAAACAAAUUUAAAAAUGACCCCUGGCUAAUUUGGGGAUUUGGUGGUGGUUGGAAACCAAUUUACAGGAAGUAGGUUGGGGUCUUGCCGUAGCCUCAAAUUUCAUCAACACCAUUACUGGUUCGUCAUUUGUGGGUUGUGGGGGUGAAGGUAACCAGAUGGAUGCAAUGGGUGGGGGAUGAAGGUGGUUGCAAUGGGAAGAUGAGAUUGUUGGCUAGGAUCGGGUGGGGGUAGUUGCUCAAAGAUUGUUGGCUAUGGUCAAAGUCCAAAUCUUGGAGUUGGAGCUACUCACUCUCUUCACCGCCCUCCUCGUCCUCAGGUAGGUUGAUGUGGAAAAGAUGAUGGUUUUGAAUUUUGGGAAAUAAAAUUUCGAAAUCCAUGAAAUUUUGGGGGUUUUUUUUCCGGAUUGAGAGCUCAUUUUGAUUUAUGGGUUCUGGAAGAAGUGCAAAAAUUUAUGGGGGUUUGGAGGGAGAAGAGGAGGGAGAAGAGGAGGGAGAAGGAAUGGGAGGUGAAGUGGGAGGAGAUGGAGAAAAGUGGGUCAAGGGUGUUUCUGGGUAUGUAUGGGUUUUUUUUUUUUUAGAAGAUUCGGGUUUUAAAAAUAAAAAAAUUUAUUUUUUUGCCACAUGGCAUACAGGUAGCAGCCACGUGGUACAAAUGUGGCAACCACGUCAGCUCCGUAUUUGGGUAUUAUGUAAUUGACCUCAAACCCCCUUAAUUUUAUUUACACGUGGUGCAAAGUUACAAGAAAUGAUCAUUCGGUUUGAAAUAUGAAUUAUAGUGAGAUUGAGCUUAGAAAAGUUGCCCACCACAUCUUGAGCUCCACAUGCAUCAACAGUUAUUGCAACUACGAGCGGAGUCGUCCGUGCCUGUCCUGUCGAUCAUAACUUAGGUCAAGAAUCAGUGCAACUGAGGCUCCUGAGUAACCACGAGAAACAAAUGUUUCCGUCUUGGGAAACUUGGAAACGAAUAGUAUUGCUUCAACUUUCUUCGGAAGGAGCUACUGCCUUGCGAGCUCCUGCCAAGCGCGGAUGUCUGCCAAAACCAUCCUCUUGAGUUAGCAAGGUCCGCCCUUUUGGCCAGGUGCCACGCGUACACACCCUCUCCGAGAUGAACCAUAUAGCCAAGAGAAACCGUGUUGCUAGAUGUUUAGAUCAAUAACCGAGUAUGAAGCGAUAAAAAUAUGUCGUUAUGUGAUUACCUCCGUUGUCCAGAGAAAACAUACUAUAUUGUUGCAGACUGGAAAUGAUUAACUGAUGAUGUAUAUGAUGCUUGAGAAUAACGAAUAGACAAAAUAUUGGCAAUUGGUAGAGAGGGAGGGAAGGAAGGAAGGAGCGCAGGUCAUUUUAUACCCCGGGAAUGAAUGGGACAUGGAAUCAUCAUACGCCUUGUUUUGCUUUGCUUUUUCAAAAUUAACCCCAUCCCUCCCUCCAUCGCAGAACAAGGUCAGGCUUCUAGGGAAUCAUUGCCUAUGACCCUCCCACUUGCCCUUCUUUUUCCCCCUCCUUUUCUUCAUCAUCUUUCUUUAUUUAUUUAUGGGUCCAAGUUUGGGGCUCUACAUUUGUAGCGUUGGGGUGGAGGAUUUUAGGGUUUUUUUUUCCUAUUCUAUUAUUUAAGUUUUUAAUAAUACUAAAAAUCAAGGAAAAAUUAGGUUUCCAUCCUUCUUUUUGUUACUCUAUUGAUUAAAAUAUUAUUCAUUUUUAAUUUUUGAUCAAGGUCAUUGGGUAUUAAUAACAUCAUUAAUUAUUUGAAAAAUAAAAUAUUUUUAUUUUUAAAUAUAUUCCUUUAGUGUUAAAAAUGUUACAAUUAGUAUAUUUAUAUUUAUGGCUAAAUUUUUUAUUAUAUAUUUUUAUUUUUAGCUUGUACCUAUUUUUAAUUUGCAAAUAUUUUUUAAUUUGUACCAAUUUUCUUUUCAUUUUUAAUUUGUACCCAUAUAUUAGUUUCUUUUUGUGCCCAUAUUUUUUAAAGUUUUAUUUGUGUUUGUACCCAUGUAUAUACCGUCACAUGACAUUGUAUAUUUAAUCAAUGAUAGAAAAAUUACAUAUGGUAUAUUUAUGUUUUAUGCCUAAACUUUGUAUCAUAUAUUUAUAUUUUAGUUUGUACCCACUUUUUGUCACAGCCCGUCCCGAAUAAAAGUUAUCGAUAACGUGAAUUGACGAAAUUACCUUUGAACGGUUGGUGGUGGUGUGUGUAAAUGGGCUAAGGUUUGGACUCAAUCAAAUUUUAAGUUUUAGUUGUUUGGUUGGUGACCCAAUUUGGACCACACACACAAAAGUACCUUUCUCUCUCUUCUCUCCCGUGCUCUCUCCUUCGGACUCACUCUUUCUCCCUUUCUCCCCUUACGGAUUAACAACAAACUAGUCGAAAGUUUGCAGAUCGAGAGUUUAAAGGACACCAUUGUGUUCUUGAGGUUCAUACGAGUUAAAUGGUACCAUUUUUAGGUAAGAACUUAUUCGAAAACUCGUGAAAACCCUAACCCAAUCUAUGUCACUAUUCAUGCAAUCAUAAAAUCGUGUGUUUUUGGGGAUUUCAAGCUUACAGGUAGCUUAAGGAGGUCCUCAUGAGGCUCGGAAUGGUUCGUUGGAAGAAUUUGGACUUCGGAUUAUCAAGAACGGCGGGUUUUAUGAUUUUCCAGAAUAUCGAGGCUUUUUCUGGCAGGUUUAUGGGGUUUCAAGGCUCGACUCAGGUAUGGUUUUGUUCGUCUUGGUGAGAUCUUCAAAUUGGUUCAAGUUUCAUGGAAUUUGGUUAAGAAAUGAAGAAGAUAUAAGGUUUUGAAAUAAAUUCCAGAAACCGGCGAAGUCACCGGCGUCUGGCGACUCGUCAGAGAAGAUGAGGGCAUAUUUCAUCAAUUUUGACGGAAUAUGCUAACGGCGUUAGAUGACGCCGUUAAUAAUUUACAGUAUAUGCUUGCUUUUGGACGAAAUAAUCCUGACGGUGUUAACUGCCGCCGUCAGUGUGCCUGGCACGUGCCCAAGCGUGGGCGGCGCAUCUGGCCGUGCCUUGGCCGACGCGUGGCUGCGCGUGGGUGGUCAGAAAUUUUUCUAAAAAUAUGGGGAUGUUCGUGAGGUUGUAUAGAUCACGUUGGUAUAUUCAAACAUCCCAUUUGAGUAAUGUAUGAGAAGUUAUUAGCUAGUAUUGGUUAUGUGCUUUAAAUGAAUGUUUUUAUAGUUGUUUCGCAUAUAGGGGAGACUUAUCCCGAGGACGAGCGCAGUCAAGGGCGACUCUGGGGAUACGACCCUUUGACAUACUAGUGAGUGGGCUUUUGGUUUUCAGUAUAUAUUAAUAUACUUGAUAUUUUCCCAGAAAAUGCAUUUAAAUGAAUUAUGCUUUGAAAAUGCCAUGCCUAUUGAUUUAUGCUUAAACCAUGAGUUAGAAUUUUAUGCAUAAAUGUGAUUUGGUGCGGUGGGCACUCAGGUAAGUUCCAGGUGAGUUUAUGAAUUGUGAAUGUGUAUUGAAUGGUUGUGAUUAAUUGAGAAAUAUUGAGCUCAUAAACCUGCACCCGAUGUUAGUGAUUAGCCAGAGAUAUGGCAUAGGCCUGUAUAUAAUGUCACCUCCCGCACCAUAUGCUCACAUUGGAUCCAAUUUAGGUGCACAGUCAUGUUGUACAGACCAUCAUACGUGGUUCCGACUCGUAGGUGACUAGAGAUUUAUCGCCCAGCUAUCAUGAGAGCAUAGUAUUGAGCAUAAUUAUAUUACACCUAGUCUUGUUGUACAGACCCUUUUAGUGGUUCCGACUUGUGUGUAGUGUAGUGUCGUGUAGGUCAUUUGUAGUGACUCUGGCUAGAUUGACUAAUGAACUAUGAUUUCAGCCAUACAGACUUCUGCAGGGGUUCUGACUAAUGUGUUAUUUUCCAUGAAUUUAUUUUCACUUGGGUUACUUAUCCUGUUUAUAUCUUGGCAUGGCAUACUUAUGAUUAUGAAUAUGUGUAGCAUGAUUUGAACUGAUAUAUAUAAAUAUAGGUAUAUGUUAUUAUUCCAUUUCUGGGAAAAAGUAUACAUGUUUUACAGCAAAGGGUUAGAGCAUUUGAAAGUUAAAUGUGUUUUCAAAACCUUUGUUUUUGCCCACUCACGUUUUCUGUUUUGCACCAUUCCAGGUUUUAGGUAGACUUGUUGUUGGUGGCAUUUGAGGAUCUCGACGGUUCUGACAAAAAUAUAUUAUUAGUAGGACAUCUUCUGGUACUGUAUAACUAGUACUUGUCCUACUGGACUGCACCUAGACUUUCUAUGCUUUGAUUAGGAGUAUUUACACGUGUAUCUCAUUCCUAGCACUUUCUACUUAUUAGUGCACAUUAGUAGCUUUCGAUUUUUAUUUAUUUGUAUAUUUCUUAUCCUUAUCGCUUCCGCACUGUGCACAUGGCUACGUCACGCUCACGUGAUGGCCAGCAUGCCUCGAUCUCGGUCGGGGUGUGUCACUUUUAAUUUGCAACAUUUUUAAAAAAUUUGUAGUAUUUUCUUUUUAGUUUUAUUUUGUACCCAUGUAUUAAUUUCUUUUAGGGCCUAUAUUUUUUAAAAUUUCAUUUGUACUCAUAAUUAUAGCAUGCACUGCUGCCUCUCAUACACUCUCCAAAAUGCCUAUUAUUACACCUGCGGCAUAAAGGAGCACUUGAGCCACCUGAAACACCAAAGUCCCUCUGCCUCUGAAAUCUUGGGCCUCCAGCAAAUCUACCACCUCUCCUUUGCACAUUAGAGCUCAAACCUCCACUAGAAGAGCUCAAACCACCACUUCUCUUAAAAUUCUCACCUCUGGUUCUCGUUCUUUUCUUCUUCAUCUUCACUCUCACUGAGCAUGUUCUCUGAGUCCCCAAUCCGCAGUAAAACCUCAUAAAACUCCUGGUAAGUGGCACAGGGAGUUGAUGUCGCUAUAGAACGCCAUUUCUUUUUAGAACCCAACCUGAAACGACGGAGCAUCUCGACCGGAUUAGCAGCAAUCUCCGAAUCGUAUCGAGACAAAUCAGUGAACCUCUUGUAAUACUCAUUCGCUGACAUCUUUCCUUGUUUCAGAUGCGUAAACUCUUGUUUCUUGCGAUCAAGUACUCUGGGGGAAUAAACCUUUUCCGAAACAACUGUUUAAACACUUCCCAAUUGGCUACAACCUCUAGUGGCAUCUGAUAAGACUCCUAUCUCCACCAGGAUGUAGGCUCCGGACCCAAAAACCAGGUAGUCGUCUUGACCCACCUAUUAGGAGGAAGAUUCCCCUGACUCUGCAUCACCAGGAAAGUCUUCUCGACAUGAUUAAACCAUUUCUCCGCUCCCUCAUGUCCUUCAUUUUCCAUGAAAUGAUUCAGCUUCAGAUUAUACACAGUCUCAUGAGGUGUCAUUUGAGGAGGACGGAGCGAAGACUGAAUGGCAUUAGCUAUAGCUUCCUCUAACUGAGCAAUAUUUGGGAAACUAGGCUCAUUUAAGUGACGUGGCUCUUUACGAGGCGGCAUAGUUCUGACAGAAGACAUCAUAAUGAUUAGAUCAUUCACAAGAUAUACAGGACGGUUAAAACUAGGCUCUGAUAACAAACUGACAUACCCCGACCGAGAUCGAGGCAUGCUGGCCGUCACGAGGGUGACAUAGCCAUGUGCACAGUGUGGAAACAAUAAAGAUAAGACAUAUACGAAUAAAUAAAAAUCGAAAGCUACUAAUGUGCACUAAUAAACAGGAAGUGCUAGGAGUGAGAUACGAGUGUAAAUACUCUUAAUCAGAGCAUAGAAAGUGUAGGUGCAGUCCAGUAGGACAAGUACUAGCUAUACAGUACCAGAAGAUAUCCUACGAAUAUUUUAUUCUAUCAGAACCGCCAAGAUCCUCAAUGACACCAACCGCAAGUCUACCUAAAACCUGGAGGGGCGCAAAACAGAAAAUGUGAGUGGGCAAAAACAAAGCUUUUCAAAAGCAUUUCAUUUAUCAAACACUCUAACCCCUCGCCGUAAAACAUGUAUAAAUUUUCCCAGAAUUAGAAUAUAAAUAUAUAAAUAUAUACAUAUGUUGGAAAUGUGCCCUAAAGCCAAUCAUAUGAUGAUACUUUACGAACAUUUCACAUGUUAAACUAAUCUAGUUUAAAUAUAAAGGGCAAAGAUUAUUGUUUGAGCCGUCUCAUAUAAAUGUUAUAUGCUUAAACGAUAAGUCCAAGGAAUAUGUGAUUGGGAGAAUGCAAUCUAAAGAAGUUAGAUUCAUGAGACCAUUCUUUCGUAGACACAUCCUAAACGUUCCUGAUCAUAGGAUUGCCAAUUGGGCAUUGACAGUCCGUUAAGAUCAGUACGUGCUGUGUCUUCUCUCAGGGAGAGUGACUAGUCUCGAGUCAUUGGUGUGUGUGACAUCAAGACAAGUACGUAGGUGCUCAAUAGAGAAUGAGUUCAUUGAACACGAUCAACGAAGAGUUCUCAUAUUCAUGUCACAUGAGAACUCAUGGUUGGGAUAAUGCAAAGUAGUCAUUUUGAUGUGAAAAUUAUGUUGACACACAAAUUAACCCUCUUUUUAUCGAUUGUAGUAAGUAUGUAAGUAGGGAUCGUUCUAUGCCGGGGAUUAGGAGGGAUUGCUAAAUCACUUGAAAACUGACUCAAAUACGUAAAAACAAGUUUAAAACACUAAACUAGACUCAAAGAAUGCAAAACUAAACUUUAAAACACCAAAACAAACAAAAAGACUCAAAACAGCAAACAAACACUCAAAACUGCCUUAAAACACUUUCUGGGCAGUUUCUGACACUCAGGAAGAAUUUGGACGAAAAUUGAUUAUAACUUGACUCAAGACACUUAAAAACACAAACUAAAUUGAUUUCUAACUAGUAUGACUCAACAAAGAAAAGGGGGAUUGAUUUUGGACGAAUUUAAAAACAAAACAAAACUUUGUAAACUAAAACAGAUUUUAAAACGAAUUUGGAUGAUUUGAAUGGAUGGAAGGCUAGCUAAGGGGUUUAUCUCCACACAUGUCACACUUGCAUAUAAAACGAUUUCCAAUUGCUUUUCAAUAAACCAUGAAUUCUCAACGCCCCAAGUUUAAUUAGGUCCGCUUAAAUUAACCCUCAGAUUUUCCUUAAGUUAUUGAAUUGGAUGAAUUGCAUACGACAACCCAAAGCAUUCCCCACAAGUCCCCUACAUGAUUGCAUAAUAGAGAUACAAGCAAGAAUAAUUAAGUUCUAUGAAAACCAUAAGCAUUGACGAAGCACUUGUUACUAUGAUUGCAUGAAACUUAUGCCAAGAAUUUACUUAACACGAUUGUGAUCAACAACCUUUACUACUUGUGAAUAUAAGUUCAUAACGAUUAGGUGAAAUUCCCUUAUAUCCUAGCAUCAAAUUCAUGCAUGCAAACUAAGUGUCGACCCUCAAUCAACAUACAAGAAUAAGUUUUAAUUCACAUAGAUAAGCAAAUUGAACUCACAACUUAUGAAACGCAAUUAGAAGUAAUCAAAUCAUAUAGCAAGCAUAAACAUGGUUUCGAAUCCCCCCCUAGCCAAGGGGGUUUAGUUCUUCAUACUCGCAAAUAAACAAAGAUAAAUAAAUUUAAACAUUAAAACAAAGAUAGAAAACACCUAGAAACGCUCCACAAUCCAAGCUCCUUGAAUGGCAUGCACGGCUCCAAGUUGUCUUCCUUCUUCUCCUUGCAAACUCACGGCACACAAUGUAUGUUUGGGUGAAUGGUGUAGUGAAAAUAUGGUAGAGGAUGGUGACUAAAUGGUGCAGCAAAAGAUGGUAUUUAUAGGCUGAAAUUCGUAGCCCCUAUGUAGCAAAGGAAAAGGAUUUAAAGGCCUAAUUUGUAUAGGAUAAUAACACACAAUCCUUGAAGGAAAAGGCUAAGGCUUUUAGAGACCAAGGGGGAAAGGAAUAAUCAGGUUUCUAGAAGUUCUAGAAAGGUUUGGGGCGUCACUUUUGUAGGACAAGGGAUAAGGUCUUCUAGAAAGGUUGUUUUGUGGCUGAUUUCUAGAAAAACAAGGGAUAAGGUAUGGCACCUUUGUAGGAGUGGAUAAGGGCUUCUAAAAACCAAUUUUAAUGUGUCCUAAUCUAGUUAGAAACCCUCCUAAGUGGCUGAAAUGUGGAUAGUUUAGGAUUAGGAUAAGAUAGGAUAGGAUAAGGUUUGUUUGGAUAAGAUAAGCUAAGAUAAGGUUAUGGAUGAGGUUUUGGAUAAGAUUCCUUCUCUUGAGCUGAUUCUUUGACUUUAACUCUUCUUCUUCACAUAGGAAACCUUGCUUGAGUAGGAAACUUCAUGUGUCUAGGAAUCCAUCUUCAAUUAGGACUCCUACAUUGAUUAGGAAUCCUUCUUUAUUUAGGAAUCCUUCAUUUAAGCCCUUUCCUACUUCAACUAGGAAACUUUGUAUCUUCAAUUCUUCAACUUCAAAACACAUUCCUAGCUUCAUCAAUCCUUCAAAUUCGUCCAUCCCUUGUGCUACAUAUGCAUGAACUCCAUUCUAGCCCAAUUUUGCUCCAAAAUGCUCCAAAUUGCUUCCUUUUGCUCACUUUGUCUCUAAAACCUGAAAACACAUGAAAAUAGCUUAAAAGACUAACUUAACUAAGAAAACACAACAUAAAUGCAUAAGAACUAACUAACUAAGGCACAUAAAUAUGCUCCUAUCACCUUUAACCCGAGGCAUCACAGUUGUCUUGUGGUUAAGUCCUUGAUCUUUGAUUAUGUCAAAGUCACUCCAUUUGGAGGGUGUCCACGGCAUCGUUGGGGUUAAGCCACUUAGCCAUGGAGACAAGUGAAUGUGCAACAAUGGAUCUCUAACCUUCAAACCGUUUGAGGGAGAAUACUCUAUGAUAUGAUUUAGAACCUCUGGCCAGAGUAUGAAUGAGAUUUAGGAAGUCGUUCCAAAUCACAUUCAAGGUAAUCAUAUAAGCACACGAAUCACAUUGGAUAGUAGACAUGAAUAAAUAACUAUCAAACCAAACAAUGUGGUCAAGAGUAUUGCAUUAGAGAAAGACCGUAUUGCAUUUGUAAUCCUAAACUGAAUAGGUUCUCCACCUCUUCUGAUUAGCUUGGGUAACCAUGAUAUGCUGCUAGGUGUCACUCAUGGUUUGUGGAAGCCCUAAACGUGUAUAAUCACUAAAGGGAGAAUUGAAAGUAAGUUUCAAUUCAUAAUCGAUUUGAAAGAGUUCUAAUCGCCCACUGCCUCGCUAAAAGGAACCUAAUGGAUCGUACACCGUGUAAGGUGGAGAUUGAAGAAACAAUGGAGAUGAGUAAGAAUAAUUAAAUGGUUUAAUUAUUUAUGGCAAGGAUUAAUUAUUAUGUUAAUUAAUCAAACGAAUAAAGUUCGUUAAAAGACCACGGGUUAGUUUUGGGCCUCAAGGCCCAAUGGGCUUCGAACGUCAAGCCCAUUGACUUAAGUUGUAUGACAACUUAAUUCACAAAGGCCCAAAAGCCCAAUAAAACCCUUAUGGCCGGCCAUGUUAGAGAGAAUGGCCUUUUGGUUCUUUAGGUCACUUAUUUGAAGUGACUAUAUAAAGGACUUUAUAGCCUAAAUUCAUUAAAGGUUUCUUUUGGAGAAAAUAGGUGAGAACUUGUCUCUCCAUUUCUCUCUAAAGAGGCCGGCCCCCUUGGAGGGUGUAUCUAGCAAUUCCACUACUCCAAGGUCACUCAUUUUCUUCUCCAAUCUAACCUUGGUGUGGAUACUUAGAGGUUCUCAAUUUUGGGAACUUGGAGAAACCUUUUCAUCCAUCCAAAUCCAUGGAUCUAAGAAGCAAGGAAUGAAGGCCCUCUCUUUGGGUGAUUAGCCUUUGCUUAUGCAAAGAGGAAUCUACAAAGGUAUAUAUUUCUCAACUCACUUUGAUUUGAGUAGAGUCUUGGUUCACCAAUCUACUAGGCUUUGAAUUUCAUGGGUAAUGUUUUGUUUUUGAAUGCAUGAAAGCAUGAUUCCGCCUUUUAAUUGUUAAAUGCAUGCUAUAGAUGUUAUUCAAAUGAACAUGUUUUCACAAAAUAAUCCUUCAACAUAUAUACAUAAAUAUAUACAUAUAUACAUACAUAUAUACAUAUAUACAUACAUAUAUACAUAAAUAUAUACAUAAAUACAUACAUAUAUACAUAUAUACAUAUAUACAUAUAUAUACAUAUAUAUACAUAUAUAUAUAUAUAUAUAAAUCAUGCUUCACAUAUUCAUAAUCAUAAGUAUGCCAUGCCAAAUAUAAAACAGAAUAGGUAACUCAAGUAAAAAUAGAUUCAUGGAAAAUAAUAUAUAUUAGCCGGAGCCCCUGUAGAAGUUUGCACGGCUGAAUUCACAACUCAUUAGUCAAUCUAGCCGGAGUCACUGCAUAUGACCUAUACGACACUACACUGCACACGAGUCGGAACCACUGUAAUGGUCUGUAUGACAAAACUGGGUGUAAUGUAGUUAUGCUCAGUGCUACACUCUCAUGAUAGCUAUGCGAUAAAUCGCUAGUCACCUACGAGUAGGAACCACCUAUAAGGGUCUGUACGACAAGGCUAUGCUCCUAAUUUGGAUCCAAUGUGAGCAUAUAGUGCAGGAUGUGACAUUAUAAACAGGCAUGUGCCAUAUCUCUAGCUAAAUCACUAACACCGGGGUGCAGGUUUAUGAGCUCAAUAUUUCUCAAUUAAUCACAACUGUUAUUCACAUUUACAAUUCAUAAACUCACCUGGGCUUACCUGAGCAUCCACAGCACCACAAUUAUAUAUUAUGCAUCAUAUACUAAUUCAUAUACUAAACAUAAAUUUAUAUGCAUGGCAUUUCAAGGCAUACUUUCAUUUAAAUGCAUUUUCUGGGAAAAUAUCAAUGGUAUGUCGAAGGGUUGUAGCCCCUGAGUCGCCCUUGACUGCGCUCGUCCUCGGGAUAAGUCUCCCCUAUAUGCGAAACAACUAUAAAAAUGUUAAUUUAAAGCACAUAACCAACAUUAGCUAAUAACUUCUCAUACAUUGCUCAAUUGAGGUAUAUGAAUAUACCAUCGUGACCUACACAACCCCACGAACAUCCCUAUAUUUUAAAAAUAAUUUUUGGAGCCUUCAUGCGCCGGCAAGGGCACGGACCUAUGCGCAGCCACGUGUAGGGACCCUAACGGAAUCCCUUAACCCUAUUAAGCAUAUUUCGUGGAAUAUUUCGUUAAAUAGUAACGGAAUCCGUUAAACUAACCAACGCUGUUAGGAAUAUUCCAUCAAAGUUGACAGAAUAUUCUAUCAUCCCCUACCUUCGAACUCCGGCGACCGUGGCCAUCACCGGAAACUGGGAAAAUCUUAGAAUCCUUAUAUCUCUGCCGUUUCUUAUCCAAAAGUUGAUGGAAACAGAAGAAAAUCGCGAGGGAAGAGAGAAAAGUGCACUGGAAGGAGAGAGAGAGGGAGUUGGAGUGUGUGUGUGGUCCAAAAUUGUCCAUUCCAACCAACCAAAAUAACAAAACAACUUAAUUCCAAUUAGUUCCACAUAAUUAGGAAAAUAACUUGGACCUAAACCUAAGUCACGUACGCACACUACUACCCACGUUUAAGGGUAAAACCGUCCCUUCACACCAUCGAUAAAAUUAUCCCAGGACGGGCUGUGACAAUGUACCCAUCUUAUAAAAUUUCAUCCUCGAAAUUUAUACAAUCAUACAAUCCACUAAUAAUCAUAAAUUAGGCGUGGAUACAUCUCUCUCAUCCGGUCCUCUGUUUCCCAAGUAGCUUCUUCCACUGAAUGAUUUCUCCACAAAAUCUUCACCAAACGCACAGCUUUAUUUCUCAGAACCUUGUCUUUCCAAUCCAAGAUAGUCACUGGUUCCUCAUCAUAAGUCAAAUCUAGAUUAAUUUCUAGAGGUUGAGGAGGAAUCACUUAUGAAGGAUCUGCAACAUAAUGACGAAGCAUCGAAACAUGAAACACAUCAUGCACUUUGGACAACUCUGGAGGCAACUCAAGCCUGUAAGCAACCUCACUGACUCGCUUGGUGAUCAUAUAUGGUCCAAUGUACCUAGGACUCAGCUUGCCUUUCUUUCCAAACCGCACAACACCUUUCCAUGGUGAUAGCUUCAGAAAUACCCAAUCACUUACACUAUAGCUCCGGUCAGUGGCAUGCUUGUCUGCUAAGCUCUUUUGUCGAUCCUAGGCCGCUUUCAGGUUAGACUUAAUUACCUGAAUAUUCUGGGUAGUUUCAUCCACAAUCUUCGGGCCCACUAAAACUCUUUCACCCAAUUCUGACCAACAUAAUGGCAUUCGACAAGACUUGCCAUAGAGUGCCUUAAAAGAUGCCAUACCAAUACUCGAAUGGUAACUGUUGUUAUAGGCAAACUUCAUCAAAUCCAAAUAAUCAUGCCAACCAUAGCCAAACUGUAGUACUGAAGAUCUUAACAUAUUCUCUAACGUUUGAAUGGUUCUCUCAGACUGCCCAUCAGUCUGAGGAUGAUAUGUUGUACUAUAAAGUAAUCUCAUACCAAGAGCUUCCUGGAAUGCUACCAAGAACUUAGAAGUAAAUCUAGGAUGCCGAUCCGAGAUAAUAUCAACUGGAACACCAUGUUACUUCACAAUCUUCGAUAUGAAUAACUUAGCUAAUUGACUUAAUGGAUAUUUUUCCCUCAUUGGAAUAAAGUGUGCUGACUUAGUAAGCUGAUCAACUAUCACCCAAAUACCAUCAUAACCAUUAUGUGUACGAGGAAGCUUGUAUACAAAAUCCAUGGUAAUAUUUUCCCAUUUCCACUAUGGAACGGGAAGUGGCUGCAUCAACUCAAACGGUUUCUUCCUUUCAGCUUUAACUUGUUGGCAAAUGGAAUACCUACUCACACAUUCGACAAUUUCCCUUUUCAUACCCGGCCAAUAAUAAAAUGGUCGAAUGGUAUGAUACAUCUUGGUACCUCCUAGAUGCAUUACAUAUGGCGAAAUAUGUGCUUCAUCAAGGAUUUCUUUCUUUAACUCUACAUUAUUCAGCACAUACAUUUUGCUCUCUUGCAUAAGCAUGCCAUCAGUUUCUCGAAUUUUGAAAUCUUUCUUCUUCCCCUGAUUCCUUGCUGGAAUUAUUUCCUGGGUCUCUUCAUCAUUCAUCUGGGCCUCGAGCACAUGAUCAAUUAAGAUUGGCCUAACUUGAAAAUUAGCAAGUAAGGCUUCCUCUCGAUCUUCCACUCCUAACUCCACUCCAGUGGACCUCAAAUCAGCAAGAAGAGGAACAUGACAAUCAUAGAUGGCAUUAAGUCUAGCUGGAGUCUUCCUACUAAAUGCAUCUGCCAUUGCAUUUGCACGACCAGGGUGAUACUCAAUCGUGCAAUCAUAAUCACUAAGCAACUCAAUCCAUCUUCGUUGUCGAAGAUUAAGAUCUCUCUGAGUAAAAAGGUAUUGAAGACUCUUAUGAUCCGUGAAGAUCUUACAUUUCUCACCAUAAAGAUAAUGUCUCCAAAUCUUCAAAGCAAAGAUAAUAGCCGCUAACUCCAAAUCAUGAAUAGGGUAAUUCUUCUCAUGAGGUUUCAACUGUCUCAAAGCAUAAGCAAUCACCCUACCAUGUUGCAUCAAUACAUAACCCAAACCAUUCAAAGAAGCAUCACGGUAGACGUCGAAAUUACCACUAUCAUCCGGGAGUGCUAAAACAGGUGCAUGAGUAAGAUAAUACUUCAACUUCCGAAAACUUUGCUCACAAUUAUCAUCCCACUCGAACUUAACUUCUUUUUUGGUCAACCUCGUCAAUGGUAAAGCAAUCAUUGAAAAAUCCUUAACAAACCGUUUAUAAUAGCCUGCAAGGCCAAGAAAACUCCGUACCUCAGUGACGAUUCGAGGUUGUUCCCAAUUCUCCACAGCUACCACUUUUUGAGAAUCCACUUGAAUACCUUGAGCUGAUAUAACAUGUCCCAAAAACGCCACUUGAUCUAACCAGAAUUGGCAUUUGCUAAACUUAGCAUAUAACUGGUGUUCCCUCAAACUUUUCAACACCAAUUUAAGAUGUCUAGCAUGCUCUACUCUAGACUUAGAGUAUACUAGAAUAUCAUCAAUGAAGACAAUGAUGAACCUGUCCAAAUAUGGCUGGAAUACUCGAUUCAUUAAAUCCAUGAAAGCUGCUGGUGCAUUAAUUAACCCAAAUGACAUCACAAGAAACUCAUAAUGACCAUAUCGAGUCAUGAAUGCUGUCUUAGGGACAUCUUCACUUCUAAUCUUCAACUGGUAAUAACCAGACCUCAAGUCAAUUUUAGAAAACACACAGGCACCUCGGAGUUGAUCAAACAAAUCAUCUAUACGAGGUAACGGAUAACGGUUCUUAAUUGUUACCCGAUUCAAUUGCCUGUAAUCAAUGCACAGCCUCAAGGUUCCAUCUUUCUUUCUCACAAAUAAGACUGGAGCUCCCCAUGGUGAAGUACUAGGUUGAAUAAAACCUUUAUCCACUAAUUCUUGCAACUGAACUUUCAAUUCCCUUAAUUCAGCAGGAGUCAUUCUAUAAGGAGUCAAAGAAAUAGGAUUCGUACCUAGAAGCAGAUCAAUAAUGAACUCCAUAUCUCUAUCUGGCGGCAAUCCAGACAAAUCAUCAGGGUAUACAUCUGGAAUUUUCCUGACCACACGUACAUCCUCCACACUACUAGGAGUAUUAUCAUUCAAUACCAUAUGAGCCAAAUAUCCCUGACAACCUUUCAACAACAAUCUUUUGGCUUUCAUGGCAGAAAUAACACCAUGCCUCACUCCGCUAGGCUCUCCUACAAAUGUAACUUCAAGUAAUCCAGGAUGAUGAAAGGUGACUGCCUUCCCAUAACAAUCUAUCUUGGCACGAUUAUAAUGUAACCAAUCAGUGCCCAAAAUCACAUCAAAAUUAACAAUGUCUAACGGAAUAAGGUUAGCUAGCAUAACCACAUCAUCCACCAUCACUGGACAUCCUGGAUAUACCCGAUCAACAUAACAUCUCUCCCCUUUAGGCAUAGAAAACUCUAAAUCAUAUCCUAGAGGUGUAGGAUGAGGUUGUGUCACUUGAGCAAAUGUAUGAGAAACAACAGAAUGCGUAGCACCACAAUCAAUCAAUACUCUAGCAAAAUGACCAAGAAUAUUUAACGUACCCAUGAUUAAAUUAGGAUUGUUCUGAGCAUCUUGCAGUUUCAUGUUAUAGAUACGUCCCUGAUUCUGCUGUUGUCCACCAUGACCUCUGCUAGCAUGAAUACCUCGUCCUUGUCUUGGUUGACCAGACUGCCUCGAAGAUACUGCACUGCUAGCAGCAAUCUCUACCUGUUGGGGCUGUCCCUCCUGGUACCACUGGGAUCCACUCGCUGAAUAUGGUUGAUAUGGCAUAGAACCUCCCUGAUACUGAGGGUAACCGCCUUGAUAAUGAAGACCCUGUGAGUGUUGAUACUGUCUUGUAGCAUAAGGAGUGGCAUCGUCUUGAUAAUGAUAAGCACCACCACGACCAGUCUCAGCAUAACCAUUAGGUCUUAAAGCUUAUUGGGUUGGCGCAGGUGGUGGAAAGGAAGGUUGUUGGGGCCUCUGUUGAUUCUGAGGGCAAUGUACAACCUUAUGCCCCAUCUGUCCACAAGUAUAGCAUGCACUGCUGCCUCUCCUACACUCUCCCAAAUGCCUAUUAUUACACCUGCGGCAUAAAGGAGCACUUGAACCACCUGAACCACCAAAGUCCCUCUACCUCUGAAAUCUCGAGCCUCCAUCAAAUCUACCACCUCUCCUCUACACAUUAGAGCUUAAACCUCCACUAGAAGAGCUGGAACUGACACCAGUUCUCUUAAAAUUCUAGGUCUUACGAGGUCCCUGAGAUGAUUGACCUUUGCCUCUAUCAUCUCGCCUCUGGUUCCCGUUCUUUUCUUCUUCAUCUUCACUCUCAUUGGGCAUGUUCUCUGAGUCCUCAAUCCGCAGUAAAACCUCAUAAAACUCUUGGUAAGUGGCACAGGGAGUCGAUGUCGCUAUAGAACACCACUUCUUCUUAGUACCCAACCUGAAACGAUGGAGCAUCUUGACCAGAUUAGCAGCAACCUCCGGAUCGUAUCGAGACAAAUCAGUGAUCCUCUUGUAAUACUCAUUCACUAACAUCUUUCCUUGUUUCAAAUGCGUAAUCUUGCGAUCCAUGUACUCAGGAGGAAUAAACCUUUUCUGAAACAGCUGUUUAAACACUUCCCAAUUGGCUACAACCUUUGGUGGCAUCUAAUAAGACUCAUAUCUCCACUAGGAUGUAGGCUCCGGACCCAAAAACCAGGUAGUCAUCUUGACCCACCUAUCAGGAGGAAGAUUCCCAUGACUCUGCAUCACCAGUAAAAGUCUUCUCGACAUAAUUAAGCCAUUUCUUCGCUCUCUUACGUCCUUCAUUUCCCAUGAAAUGAUUCAGCUUCAGAUUAUACACAGUCUCAAGAGGUGUUCUUUGAGAAGGAUGAAGCAAAGACUGAAUGGCAUUAGCUAUAGCUUCCCUUAAUUAAGCAAUAUCAGGGAAACUAGGCUCAACUGAGUGACGUGGCUCUCUACGAGGCGGCAUAGUUCUAACAGAAGACAUCAUAAUGAUUAGAUCAUUCAAAAGAUAUACAGGACUGUGAAACCUAGGCAUAUGGUGCAGAAUGUGACAUUAUAAACAAGCAUGUGCCAUAUCUCUGGCUAAAUUACUAACACCGCGGUGCAGGUUUAUGAGCUCAAUGUUUCUCAAUUAAUCACAACCGUUAUUCACAUUUACAAUUCAUAAACUCACCUAGGCUUACCUGAGCGUCCACAUCACCACAAUUAUAUAUUAUGCAUCAUAUAGUAAUUCAUAUACUGAACAUAAAUUUAUGUGCAUGGCAUUUCAAGGCAUACUUUCAUUUGAAUGCAUUUUCUGGGAAAAUAUCAAGUAUAUAAGUAUCUACUGAUAACCAAAAGCCCACUCACUGGUAUGUCGAAGGGUUCUAGCCCUCGAGUUUCCCUUGACUGAUCUCGUCCUCGGGAUAAGUCUCCCUAUAUGCAAAACAACUAUAAAAACGUUAAUUUAAAGCACAUAACCAACACUAGCUAAUAACUUCUCAUACAUUACUCAAUUGAGGUAUAUGAAUAUACCAUCGUGACCUACAUAACCCCACGAACAUCCCCAUAUUUUAAAAAUAAUUUUUGGAGCCUUCAUGCGUUGGCAAGGGCACGGCCCUACGUGCUGCCACGUGCAGGGACCUUAACGGAAUCCUUUAACCCCGUUAGGAAUAUUCUGUGGAAUAUUUCAUUAAAUAGUAACGGGAUCUGUUAAACUAACCAACGCCAUUAGGAAUAUUCCGUCAAAGUUCACAGAAUAUUCCAUCAUCCCCUACCUUCGAACUUCGGCAACCGUCGCCGUCGUCGGAAACUGGGAAAAUCUUAGAAUCCUUAUAUCUCCUUCGUUUCUUAACCAAAACUCAUGAAAUUGGUCUCAAUUUAAAGCUUAUAACUAGAAGAACACAUCCUUACAAAUUUCAAGGCUUGAAAUCCAUGAAAACUCGCCGGAGAGAGCUCGAUAAUUCCGGCCAAAUUUCAAACUCUCCAAACUACACUUCCCGACGUCCAAUUUGCUUGGUUUUUCUUCUCCGAGCUUCGUAUGAACGUCCUAAAGCUUCCUAUGAGCUUAAAAUCCCCUGAAACAUCCAUAAUUACGACCACAUGAACAGUACUCAAAUCGAGGGUGAUGGUUUCUCAGGUUUUUUAUGGUUUCACGAUUUAAAAAUGGCAUAUAUGAACUCAAGGACUUGCAAGGAGUUUGAAUCUUACCUUCAUGACGUCGAUUCGUGCGUGAAAUGUGAGUUUGGCGUUCGUCCGUACAAAGUUGUAGGAAACGGAAGAAAAUUGCGAGGGAGGAGAGAGAGAGAGGGAGUUGGAGUGUGUGUGGUCCAAAAUUGUCCACUCCAACCAACCAAAACAACAACAACAACAACAACAACAAAGCCUUUUCCCACUAAGUGGGGUCGGCUAUAUGAAUCCUAGAACGCCAUUGCGCUCGGUUUUGUGUCAUGUCCUCCGUUAGAUCCAAGUACUCAAGUCUUUUCUUAGGGUCUCUUCCAAAGUUUUCCUAGGUCUUCCUCUACCCCUUCGGCCCUGAACCUCUGUCCCGUAGUCACAUUUUCGAACCGGAGCGUCAGUAGGCCUUCUUUGCACAUGUCCAAACCACCGGAACCGAUUUUCUCUCAUAUUUCCUUCAAUUUUGGCUACUCCUACUUUACCUCGGAUAACCUCAUUCCCAAUCUUAUCCUUUCUCGUGUGCCCAUACAUCCCACGAAGCAUCCUCAUCUCUGCUACACCCAUUUUGUGUACGUUGAUGCUUCACUGCCCAACAUUCUGUGCCAUACAACAUCGCUGGCCUUAUUGUCGUCCUAUAAAAUUUUCCCUUGAACUUCAGUGGCCUACGACGGUCACACAACACGCCGGAUGCACUCUUACACUUCAUCCAUCCAGCUUGUAUUCUAUGGUUGAGAUCUCCAUCUAAUUCUCCGUUCUCUUGCAAGAUAGAUCCUAGGUAGCGAAAACGGUCACUUUUUGUGAUCUUCACUAGAUUGCUCCGGUCAUUAGUGUGGAUAAGUAUAUAAAUGGAUAGAGAUAGGAAAGCAAACACAAGAUGUACGUGGUUCACCCAGAUUGGCUACGUCCACGGAAUAGAGGAGUUCUCAUUAAUUGUGAAGGGUUUACACAAAAGCAAACACAAGAUGUACGUGGUUCACCCAGAUUGGCUACGUCCACGGAAUAGAGGAGUUCUCAUUAAUUGUGAAGGGUUUACACAAGUACAUAGGUUCAAGCUCUCCUUUAGUGAGUACAAGUGAAUGAUUUAGUACAAAUGACAUUAGGAAAUAUUGUGGGAGAAUGAUCUCGUAAGCCACGAAACUUCUAAGUACCGGAGUGUGGUAUCGUCUUGACUUGCCUUAUCUGUCUCAUAGGUAGAUGUGGCAUCUUCUCUGGAAGUACUCUUCCUCCAUCCAGGGGUGGUAUCUGUAACUGGUGGAGAUGCACAAGGUAAUGUAUCAAUUUCACUUGAAGCUUACUUGUAGUUUCAUGCUUGGUCAAGCGCGAUACAAACCAUGUAGUAGGAGUCCCCCAAGUCGCCGAGCUAGGGGAUCUGCUGAAAGAGGUGACAGACAAGGUAAGCAAUCAGAGCUCCGGCUGAUUGUUCACAUUCUUCCUAUCUUGCAGGCAGCAUGAAGGAUAAAGAGAAGAAAAAUGAGGAGAGAUGAUAUGGGAUACUUUUGCUUUUGAAUAAGUAACUUUCCACAGGCUUAUUCUUGAAUUGGGCUGGAGGGUUUUCUGGUUUCCUCCAGAGUAUAAGGUCGACUGAAGAAUUUGAGGGUCAAAACAAGUCCAUCAAAUCUAGAGUACGUUCGACCCUGCUGAUAUGGGAUACUUUUGCUUUUGACAGAGUAGUGGAUGUAUCGGCACGUGUGCUGUUACGCUUGUCUCCACAUGCUUCCUUGUAACCUUCUCACUUGCCCUAUUUGUUCCUCAGGCAGAUGCGGCAUCUUCCCUGGAAGCAUAAGAUGUUAAAGAUGAGUACUCGAGAGCAAUGCCAGGUAAGUAAUCAGGUAAGGGGUUCCAGGCAGUCAGUUCCUGGCUGGAAGCUUGAUUCCAAGUGCUGACUGAUUGCUCUUUUUCUCCUUGUCUUGCAGGUAAGAACAAGGCCAAAGGAAAAGACAGGGAAAAAGCAUGAUAUGGGAUACUCUUGCUUUUAACCCUGAUGAUAUGAGAUAUUCUUGCUCUAGUAUAGCUUGUUUACAGAGGUAUUAUCGGGGGGAAAGAAAGCUGAAUAUUUCGAAAGGCUUCGUUGGGAGUGCCCUCUCAGAUAAGAGAAAGGGUUGAGCAUUUUUGCAGGUCUGCCUGUCCGUUAGGGAUGCAGGUCGACAUAUAUAGGAGUCUCCCUAACAUCAAGUAAUAAUGCUAUUCCUUUACCCUGCUUGGUUAUAGCACGGUAGUGGGAGCUGCCAGCUUCACAUGUUUUAACUCUGUCAGAGCACUUUGAAAAAGUGGUCUGUGGUAUCUGGAAAGCUGAUGUUGCGUGUGAAGAUUACAGACAAGCUUUAUCCAAGGAGAUCCAGCUCUUGAAGUUGGGAAAGUGGUGCCUCUUCGAUUUUCGAACAAGCAAUCCUGUCGGGGAUUUGGCUCUCGAGAUUCGGAGAACGAUGCCUCUUCAAUUUUUGAGAAAGCAAUCCUGCUGGGGGUCUGGCUCUCGAGAUUCGGAGAGCGGUGUCUCUUCGAUUUUUGAGAAAGUAAUCAUGUUGGGAGUCUGGCUCUCGAGAUUCGGAGGGCGGUGCCUCUUCGAUUUUGGAGCAAGCAAUCUUGUUGGGAGUGUUUUCUCGAAUGUGAGUAAAGGUUGGACGUGUUUGCUAGUCUACCUUGCCACGAAGCACAGAGGUUGACACACAGGGACUUUCCAAUUAUCCAGCAGUGGUACUGUUCCUUGACCCUCUCUUCGAUUUUUGAGAAAGUAAUCAUGUUGGGAGUCUGGCUCUCGAGAUUCGGAGGGCGGUGCCUCUUCGAUUUUGGAGCAAGCAAUCUUGUUGGGAGUGUUUUCUCGAAUGUGAGUAAAGGUUGGGCAUGUUUGCUAGUCUACCUUGCCACGAAGCACAAAGGUUGACACACAGGGACUUUCCAAUUAUCCAGCAGUGGUACUGUUCCUUUACCCUCUCUUCGAUUUUUGAGAAAGUAAUCAUGUUGGGAGUCUGGCUCUCGAGAUUCGGAGGGCGGUGCCUCUUCGAUUUUGGAGCAAGCAAUCUUGUUGGGAGUGUUUUCUCGAAUGUGAGUACAGGUUGGGCAUGUUUGCUAGUCUACCUUGCCACGAAGCACAGAGGUUGACACACACCGGGACUUUCCAAUUAUCCAGCAGUGGUACUGUUCCUUUACCCUUAUGGGUAAUAAUAUGGUAGCUAGACCUUCAAAAUUUAUGUGUUUAAACUUUGUUAGUGUUGUUUCUUUGCAAUUCUUUUACCCUUCUUGGUCAGAGCGAUGUAGUGGGAGCUGCAAGCUUCACGUGUCUCAACUUUGUCAGAGAACUUUGGCAAAGUUAUCUGUGGUACCCAUGAGCUACUGUUGCGUGUGGGAAGUGGGUGAUUGAACAGUACGAUUCAUGUGCUUUCUACUUCGUCAGAAAUCUUCGACAGAAUGCCUAUAAUUUCCGCAACGCUGAGUGUGCGUGUGACAGGUGCUGACAAGGCUGGAAAAGUAGGUGCCUCUUCGAUUUCUGAGAUCGGCCCUCAUGGUCUCUGAGCAUCCCAGCUUUUGAGAAAGCAAGCCUCUUCGAUUUCUGAGAUCGGCCUUCGUGGUCUUUGAGCAGCCCAGCUUUUGAGAAAGCAAACGCCUCUUCGAUUUCUGAGAUCGACCCUCGUGGUCUCUGAGCAGCCCAGCUUUUGAGAAAGCAAACGCCUCUUCGAUUUCUGAGCAGGCGCCUCUUCGAUUUCUGAAGCUUCGUCGAGUGCAGAUUUUUAUAGGGGCUGACAUUAAGUUCCAAAGCACACUUGAAUAUCCACUAGUAGAAGCUCCAUUCUUGCACUUCUAAGAUCUUGAUUUGUCCGACCUCUUCUCUCUUCAACACCUUUGAAAAUGUCUGGACCCUCCGACCGUCGUUUUGACUUGAACCUUGUUGAAGAGGCAGCCCCGCCUUCUCCAGACAACAUAUGGCGCCCAUCCUUCGUCUCCCCUACUGGUCCUCUUACCGUUGGGGAUUCCGUGAUGAAGAAUGAUAUGACCGCUGCGGUAGUGGCCAGGAACCUUCUCACUCCCAAAGAUAACAGACUAUUUUCCAAACUGUUUGAUGAGUUGGCUGUUAAGGAUUCUCUGGCUCUCAGUGUUCAGUGUGCAGGUUCUGUGUCUAAUAUGGCCCAACGCCUAUUUGCUCGAACCCGCCAAGUUGAAUCAUUGGCGGCUGAAGUGAAGUGAUGAGUCUCAAACAGGAGAUUAGAGGGCUCAAGCAUGAGAAUAAAACAGUUGCACCGGCUCGCACAUGACUAUGCUACAAACAUGAAGAGGAAGCUUGACCAGAUGAAGGAAUCUGAUGGUCAGGUUUUACUUGAUCAUCAGAGAUUUGUGGGUUUGUUCCAAAGGCAUUUAUUGCCUUCCUUCGUCUCUCUGGGGCUGUACCGCGUAAUGAAGCUCCAAAUGAUCAACCUCUGAUGCCUCCUCCUUCUAGGGUUUUGUCCAGUACUGAGGCUCCGAAUGAUCCUCCUCCGGUGCCUUCUCUUUCUGGGGCUCUACCGCCUGCUGAGACUUCUCCUAAGCAACCUUUGUGAAGGCUCCCUCUUGUUUGUUUAUUUUGACUCAAGUAUAUGUACAUAUUUGUAACUUAUCGGGGAUAUCAGUAAAUAAGCUUUCCUUCAUUUCAACGUAUUGUGUUAAAUACAUCAAAGCCUUCUUCGCUAAGUUCUUUGAAUUUUCUUUUGUUGAAGCUUGUAUGUUGAAGCUUUGUGAGUGGAGCAUAUAGGUUGAGGUAGUGUUCCCUUAAUUUCCCGAGUGAGGAAAACUUCUUGGUUGGAGACUUGGAAAAUCCAAGUCACUGAGUGGGAUCGGCUAUAUGAAUCUUAGAACGCCAUUGUGUUCUGUCCAUGUCCUCCGUUAGAUCCAAGUACUCUAAGUCUUUUCUUAGGGUCUCUUCCAAAGUUUUCCUAGGUCUUCCUCUGCCCCUUCGGCCCUGAACCUCUGUCCCAUAGUCGCAUCUUCUAAUCGGAGCGUCAGUAGGCCUUCUUUGCACAUGUUCAAACCACAUACUUAGGAAAAUAACUUGGACCUAAACCUAAGUCACGUACGCACACUACUACCCACGUUUAAGGGUAAAAUCGUCCUUCACACCAUUGAUAAAAUAUCCUAGGACGGGCUGUGACAUUUUAUCCAUUUAUUCAAUCAAAAUGUUUGAAUUCUUUUAUUGUAACAGUUUCUAAUAGUAUUAUAAUGAGGGAUUUUAAAUUUAUAGGAUUAUAAAUCUCAUAAAAUAUCAAAUAAUUAAUGUCAAAACUAUAAAAAUAUAAAUAUUAAUAGUAAUAUAAUGAGGUGAACAAAGUCAAGGAACCUUGAUCAAACUUUAAAUACCAUUAAGGUUUUAAUCAAAGAAUGUUAAGGAUUAGGGACGGCAUCCAAAAUAUUCGUUAUUUAUUAGUUGUUUGGCAACGCGGCUCUAGUUGGACAACAACGUCAGCAUAAAUGUGAAAUUUAUUGUUACCACGUCAUCACUUAACUGCCAAUUUAACAGAUUUUCUAAUGGUUGUAUGAAAUUGAAAUGAAAUAAUAACAAGUGUCUGAGAUUGAAUUUUUUAAAGAUGAUUUAUGAGAUUGAAAUUAUACUCAAACGUGAAGGAUAAUUUUUUUUUUUUCGCUCCCAAAAAAAAUGUUUACACAAGACUUUGUAAUUCAGUUAGUUUAGCACAUUCAAUAAAACUCAAUUUCUCACACAUAUUAAGUAAUCAGAUUACUAGAACGGGUCGGCUGUAGUGGUAAAAAAUGAAGAAUGAAUCAAGAUACUUCUGCGAUUGAAUCAAAAGAAGAAUAAAUAAAUCUCCGUAACCAAUAAGCAUUAGAAACGCUUCAGGAAACAUGCGGGGUGGUGGCGCAGUUGGCUAGCGCGUAGGUCUCAUAGCUUCUGAGUCAUCCUGAGGUCGAGAGUUCGAGCCUCUCUCACCCCAUUUUUCUUUUUUCCUUAAACUAAUUACAUGACUACUUGUAAUAGCCAGAACCGAUUACCUGUUUUUGCUGGUGUUAAACAAAGUUUCUCAGUCCCUAAACUUCUAAUUAAGAAAAUAAAUUUACAAUUCUAAACUCUACUACGAAAAAAUUUUCAAUGUAAUAUAUUAACUUUAUCAUCCAAUUUUCCCCUACUAAAAGCACAACCAAAUUAAUCAAAAUUAGAAGCAAGAGGGCAUUCAAAUGAAGCCUAGGACCUCACAAGUGUUUAUAUUUCAUGUGGUUAAUUAAAAAAAAAUAUAAAUGUCGCUUAGUACUAUGGUCUAGUAGUAUUAUUCUUUACAUGUAGUAAGUGAGAGGUCUUAGGUUCGAUUCUCGCCAAUGACGAAUUUGAAUCACAUUAUUGUUAGCACAUUGUGAGGCUAAGCCUACCCCCUCUCUCUUAUUGUAGAUAAUAUCGUUUGUUAAAAAAAUUAAAAAAAUAAAGUGAAGCCAACGACCACACAUGGGAUAUGAAGAAAGUAAAGUGUCUAUCCUAAAAUUAAUUGGUAAUAGGAGUGUUCCAACCCUUUAUAAAACCUAUGCAAGAAUCCUUUGUUUUUUUACAUGAGAUUACAUUCUCAACAAGAAAAAUAUGUAAAGUGUCGGAGAAUGUAAAAUUGUCUCACAUUAUAAAACUGAAAAGAAAAAAAAAACAUAUAAUACAUAUAAUUAUAUUUCUACUACCAAUGACCUCAAAGUUUUUUUUUAUAAUAAAGCCUCACACCGAGGUAUGUAGGUGUUGGGACCUUUUGAUUGAGUUGGAUAUUUAUGUUAGGGACCUUUUGAUUGAGUUGGAUAUUUAUGUUAGGGACCUUUUGAUUGAUUUGGAUUUAGGUCUCGGACGAACUUUACGCUCCCAUGGUUCAUUUCCGGCACUAAGUCCCGAAAUACUUCAAAAGAAUUAGCACGUCUUGGGACGCAUUCCAAAUGAAUCAAUGACUCUGAUUUAACCAUGAUUGAAUAAUUACAUAAAUUGUAACUUAAUUGGAUGAAGCGUGGCAUGAAAGCUAAAAGUUCAUUGGUUUAGCAUGAGAAAGAUGUUGUGCUUGGUUGUGUUUGUACCAUACUUGACCAAUCCUGAAACUACUGGGCACCGGUCAACGUUAUACCGUCAAGGACCCAGAAGAGUUUCCCUCCAACCAGGAGGCCAAUCACAAAGCGACACGUGUCGAUAUCAGAAGCCAAUCAUAGCACGACACGUGUCAACAUUAGAAGCCAAUCACAACACGACACGUGUCAAUGUCAGAAUGAAACUAGAAACUAUCUUCUAUAAAUAGAGAUCAUUCUCUCACAAUAUUUCCUAAUGUCAUUUGUACUAAAUCAUUCACUUGUACUCACUAAAGGAGAGCUUGAACCUAUGUACUUGUGUAAACCCUUCACAAUUAAUGAGAAAUCCUCUACUCCGUGGACGUAGCCAAUCUGGGUGAACCACGUACAUCUUGUGUUUGCUUCCCUAUCUUUAUCCAUUUACAUACUGAUCCAUACUAGUGACCGGAGCAAUCUAGCGAAGGUCACAAACUUAACACUUUCUGUUGUACCAAAGUCCUCACUGAUUUUGUGCAUCAACAUUUGGCGCCGUCUGUGGGAACAACACUUAUUCCCAUUCUAUAAGGAAGCCACAGCACACAGAAUGACACCCCUCUUGCACCUAGUGUUGGAAAUAUGCCCUGAAAGUCAAUCUUUGGAAGAAACCUUUUAGGACAAUGAAUGGGUGUAUAGAUGACUCUUAUACAUCAAAAGGCAAAGAUACUAAUUAGGACUAUCUCAAUAAAUGAUAUAAGUCCUAAAUAGUGAAUCCAUGGACAAUGGAUCAAUGGAAGAAGUAAUCUAAUGAUGUUAGACUACAGAGACCUUCUUCACAUAACCAUCAUGUCCAAAAAGGUUCCUGGUUAUAUGAUUGUCAGAGGGAUACUGACAAUGCAAAGACCAGUACAUACUAUGUCCCCUUCAAUUGGAAGGAUGGAAAGUCUCGUCCCAUUUGUGUAGUGACACUAAGACAGGUAUGUAGGUGCUCAUUAAGGGAAUGAGUUCACUGAACACAAUCGAACGAGAGUACUUGCAUGGAGGUCUACUCACAUGUCAAGCAAGUAACUCUAAUGGUUGGAAUAAUGUAAGUAGUCCUUUGACCUGAGGCAUCAUAGUUGUCUUGUGGUUAGGUACUUGAUCUUUGAUUAUGUCAAAGUCACUCCAUCCGCGAGUGUCCACGGCAUAGUCGGGGUUAAGCCACUUAGUCAUGGAGGCAAGUGAAUGCGCAACAAGGGAUCUCUAAUCCUCGUUAAGAGAGGAUGAAUACUCUAAGAUAUGAUUCGGGAAUCUUCGGCUGAAGUAUCGAGCGUAAUAAAGGAAAGCGUUCCUAUACGACUCAAAUGAAUCAUAUAAGAAGGAAUAAUCACAUUAAGGGUUUGACAUAAAAUAUCCAUACCCUAGUAAUGUGAUUGAGAGUAUUGUUUUAGAGAAUGAUCGAAUUACAUUGUAAUUCCAACUGAAUAGGUUCUCCGAACAAAUUCUUCAUUAGCUUGGGUAGCCAUGAUAUAUGGUUAGAUGUCACUCAUGGCUUGUGAGUUCUUCGAGAUGAUUAAAUGUAGUCGUCAAAGAAGAAGGUAAAUUAAAAGUAAGUUUUAAUUCACUAAGUGAUUGGAUUAAAAAUAAUCAAUUGGAUUGGUGCCAAUCACCUCACUGCCUUGCUAAUUAGAACCUAAAACGAUU